rnacentral:lncRNA from 1 species
UUAGCUUGAGGGGUAGUUUUCGAUGCUUCCUUGUGAGAUGUUAGGCAAAAGUCGAUUUAGCUUAUGCUAUUGGGCCUUUUAUAUUUAUAAGGUAGUAGUCUAGUACUUUUAUGUUGUACUAUAUAUUAUCUUUGUCCUUUCCCUAUUUUGCAAUCUCUAUUGUUAACAAUAACUAACUAACAGCUUUCCUCAACCUAUAGAUUAUGCAUCCUAACACAUUUCUUUUUAUCCGGUGUGUAGGAGAUAAAAGAAGCAUCAUUUGGUAAGUUGUAAAAUCUACUGUGUGCCAAAAAAAGGAAGGGAGAUUUUUUGAAAUCUUCCAAAAACAUUACAUUAUUGAGUAAAAGUCUACAAUAUUUCCCUUGAGAUUUCCUCAUUAUGGCAUCAAGUUAUAAAGAAGAAUUACGGUUUACCUAAGAGGAUUUCAUAUUGCCAAUCCAGAAAUGUCUCACUAAGGACGAAGGAGGAACAUUUUUCAUUUGGUUUGGACCACUAAGUCUAACCCCCUUCAAAGUAGGGGUGUGUUAAAUUGUGUGGACUAUGUAUGGGUAAGGAUAUUCUUUCAUUUGGGCAUCUGUGUUAAUCAAGAUAAUUAAUACUAAUGUUAUGCAUCAGGCUCCCUACUGUUUAAACUUUAAACUCGGAAACAGUUGUGCAUUUGUUUCUCCCUUGUCUAGAUGCACGUUACACUUUAGGGUGUGAUGCUUUUAGACUAUUUCGUGAUCCUUGGCUGUGUCCGCAAAACUUGGAGCAUUUUCUGAUUAUUAUUGAUUUAAAAUGUUUCAUUUCAGCAGUUGCCAAUGAUGCAAAAGUUAUUUGGCAGGGCGAAGGUUGUACUUUGCAACCUUUUGUCAGAAUAAGGAAAGCUCAGAAUUCAAAAGAAUGUAUCUAUCCUAAGUGAUGCAUUGGGACAAGACAUUUCAGUUGCCUUUUCUUGGGUGUUCAGCACAUGGAUCCCUUCCUAGAUUUGUUUUAUUUCUUUUUGAUGACUAGAUUUUGUAUUAGUUUUGUUUUGGAUAGAUUCAUUCCAACAAAAUUUUAUAAUUUAGGUUGGGUCGAACUCAACCCCUACAAAACCAAUUUGGAAGCUGAAAGUUUUCCCCACUUAUAACCACUUCUCCGGUUAUACCACUACGCAAUAAGGAACUCUCAAGUCUCAACACACUCUCACAACAAGGAUUUUCGACGCACAUACCAUCUUAGAAUUUGUGUUGAGCCUAACUUAAUUGCCUAAAACCGACUUGUAAGGUGAAAAUUGUCCACCACUUAUAACUAAUAUUCAGGUUAUAUCACCAAGCACUAUCGGACACUCAACAUAGAAUUAUCGUUCAGACUUCAAUUAAAUCAAUAUGAAAGUGAUAAUUUCUUCACUCUAUUGUAUUUUACAGCAAUCAUCGCCAUGAGAUUUUACUCUCAAAAUUAAACAUGAAAUUCUUCAACACUUCAAGGUGACUAACAUUCUAGAAGAAGUAUUUCUAUUCUAUGAUGUAAAUUCAAUCUCAAAACAAAACCACUCAAUGCUUCAAUCUAAAUACCAAAUGAACAAAUUUAAACAACAAAAAACCUAUCAACAAAUAUGAGCUUUGCAAAUUUUUACCGUAAGCAUAAGCUAUAGAAGGAUUAUACUCAUUUCGCACUACAGUAUCUCCAUCUGCAUACCAAGCAAUCUCCUCGCCAUGACGAAUUUCCCUCGGACUGUGACACACAUAACACAACACACCUCAAUCAAAUUAACAUCAACAGCUGUAACACAAUACGAUUACUGUAAAUAAUUCUGAAAACACGAAACACUUACUUUAAAGGUCGAAACCGGACGGUGACAGUUACAUUCUCUUUAGUCUUUUGAGAAUCCAACGGCACAGUUUCUGGAUAAAACUGCUGCGGCUUACUCCGCACUGACGACGACGCCGGCGAACUCGGAGCAUCAUUGGAAGUUUCGUGAAACUGUUUAGAUGACGAAGUUGUUGAAGAUGAAGGCGAAUUGACACCUUUCGUUCCUCCAAUCGAUCCAAAUCGUUUUGAUUUUGCUCCUUGUUUCGACGCCAUUCACACUUCUCCUCAAACCUACAAAUUUCAACAAAAAAUUGAAUGCGAUUUCAUCGAAUUCAAAGAUAAUCGUACACGUAACAGAAAUUGAUGAGAAAUGCGUGAGGAAUAUUGAUAGCGUAAGAUAAGAUAAGAAUGGAAAAUUGACCUGAAAAUGAAGAAUCAGAGAAGCAUUGUAGAAGAUCGGUUAGAAAGAGAAAGAGAAGAAAGAAACAGAUCCAGAAGUGGAAAGUGUGAAGGAGUUGAAGUUGAAGUUGGUUAGAGUUGAGUGAGAAAAGAAGAAAAAUAGUGAGUGAAUCUUCUUCUGAAACAGUAGUAGUGAAUAAGUAACAGUAAGAGAGAGAGAGAGAGAGAGAGAGAGAGAGAGAGAGAGAGAAGGUUAUUGACUUGGCUUGGAAGCGAUUAGGAUGGGAAGCCAAUAAAAAAGUGAUUAUGAAGAACAAAGAUUGAUUAUUAUUAUUAUUGUGAUUAUGAUCGGUAAUUAACAACUGUUGUUGUUGUUAAUGGAGGGAGAGGGUGAUGAAAAUGACGCAGUAGGGAAAUGGUACGAAGAAGAGAGAGAAAAGACGAGUUGUGUUAUUGUUGUUGACUUGUGGUGGGACUUGCGUAAAUUUUCCACGAAUCUACUUUUCUUGUUUUAAUUUAAUUAAUAAUAAAGUUAAGUAAUUAGAGCUAUUAGUUGUCUUUAAUUCAUUUUUAGAGCGCAUUUAGGCAGAGGUAGGGUUGUGUAGUGUUGAGAAUGAGGGAGGGGUUUCCUGAAAGUCAAGUCACACACAGUUUCACGAGAAUGGCAUGCUAACUACUAGCAAACAAAAAAUGAAGUUUGGCUUGGACUUCAAUUUUCAGUGAAGUCUCUUAAACCUCAAAAAAAAAAAAAUAUACACGGAUUUUUAUAGAUUAGUCGCCACAAAAAAAUGUAUACAAUUUUUUUUAGAAAAUCAUGCAUCUUGAAUUUCUCACAAAUACUGCUAGAAAUCGUUCAUUAUUUAACUCGGUUAAAUGAUUAACCAAUCUAAAAAGUUCCUAUACUAAAUGUACUAGCCUCUAACUAUGAGAAAUGAGCUUGCCUCUAACUUUAAAUUUGAGAUAAAAAUAACAUUAAUUUAUAGAACACAGCAUAUUAUUUUAUACAUGUUUAGAAUAAUUCACACCAAGGGUAUGUUUUCAUUUUUGGAGGAGUUUUUUUAAAAUAGAAUUGAUUUUACAUCCAGAUUUAAUUCUACUUAAAGCUAUAAAUUGUAACUUUUAAUUUUAGAAUUGAUUUUUAUACUCAAAUAUAUUUUACAAUUCACUUUUAUAUAUACUCCCUCCGUCUCAAAUUGUAUGUCGCUUUGGAAGAAAAAAAAUUGUCCCAAAUUAUAUGUCGUUUUACAAUACCAAUGAAAUAUUAAUGUUAUUUUUCCUAUUAUAUCUUUAACUAUUAAUUACUCUCUCUUCUUUCAAUUAUUUCAUUUAUCUUUUCCAUACCAUUUAUUAAGGAUAAUUUUGUAAAACAACUCAUAAUUUCUCUUCCUCACACAAUAUUAAUCAUAUUUCUUAAUACGUGUGAAAUGGCCAAAACGUCAUACAAUUUGGGACGGAGGAAGUAUUAUACAAACACAAACCAAUCAUUUUAUCUACAACUCAGUUUUAGCUAUAAUCAAUUUUAGAUAAUCAACACACCUUAACUGCACAAAUAUUAACAGGAAUUACAAAUUACUUUUCACUCAAAAAAAAUACAAAUUGUGUAAAAAGGUUGCAUCCUAAUAAAAUGUAUACUUGAUAUGUUACACAACCCACAAGUAAUAAAAAUUCAUAGUGCUUGCUUCUUACACUAUCUUUAAUAUAUUAGUGGAUUGUCCGUAUAGGAUUCAUGUAUAGUGACUCUAAUUAAAAAAAGAAUUAAUAGAACAUAACUAGAACAAAUGUAAAAUUCCAAAAGCCAGGGACAACUAUUCAACAUACAAUUCAGGUUUAACAGCUUUAAGUUGUUUACUAUAAAAUUAAUAAUAUUCUAAGACCUUCAUAUUAGGUAUAGAAAAUCCCAGUUGUUUUUGUUUGUUCUGUAUGUUCGCUUUGGAGUUGCAUUAUUCAGACCCACAUACCUGACCUGACCCUCUUUUUCUCAAAACAACUAAAUGAUUGUAUACAAUUACAAUAAAUUAAAGCAUAAGAUAUAUUAUAAUGAUGAUCAUAAUUAAGUAGAGUAUUCUUUCUUGUUCUAGUUGCUAGCAAGUAACAACCACAACAAUACAAUAAAGUAUUCUUUAAAAAAAAAAAACAAUACAAUAAAGUAUAUAAAUGUACUUGCAAAAAAAGUACGAUAAGGAUUCUAGGGUUAAGAAUCGUAGACUAGGGUUCUAAUCUAGGGUUUUAGACUGAAUAAUAAUGGAUCCUUUUAGAAUGACCCCAAGAGGGUUAUUUAUAGCCUGCUAAUGGGCUUUUUCCUGCGUGACUUAAGCUCUAAGAAAGCAGGGGUUUUAGUCUUUUUAGCUCAUUUAGGCGGUUUAGGGCGACUUCUAGAGGUUUCUAGAAGCCGAGGUAGACGGCGCCCUGAGGAGGACGCGCCUAGGCCUCCAAAGUCCCUUCUAUAGGGCGCCUAAACCCUUCUGGAGGGCUUUAAGCCCUUAGGAAUAUUAUGACGGUCCACAGCCCUCCAAGCACGAGGCUUGGAACAAGGCGUGGUGAUUAAUAAUAUGGAUUUGGCCCUUCUUGAGGGCUUUUAACCCUAAGGAAUAUUAUGACGGUCCACAGCCCCCCAAGCACGAGGCUUGGUACAAGGCGUGGUGCUUUUGAUUCUUUAUGCGGUCGGGACGCUUUAAAAUGUUUGGGCGGGAUGGUUCUGUUUAUGAGAAGACUAUCGUUUGUUCCUUGAUUGGGCGUCCUCUUUGGGCGUCCUUAACUUAUAAGGGUUGAUGAAGUUUAAUCUUCAUGGGCAAUUUGUUCAUACCAUAAACGUUUGUUGGCUUCUUUUUAUGAAUUAUCUUCUUUUCUCCCUUUAUCAAAAUUUGGCUUAAUCUCCUUAAUAAGGAUUCGUUCCUUUUAAAUUUCUGAGCGAAGUUAAGCCUUUAUAGAUAAUUUGCUCAUACAAUAAUCGUUUUGCUAUGAUAAUAAGACUUCGCUUUCAUGAAUUCGCUGAAUUAGAGCCCUUAUAAGGUUUUAAACCUUUCAUAGGUGUUUUGUUGAUGUUAAACUAUCAGUCACCUUUUAAAAAGGUCGGACUUUGUUGGUCGAAUAUUAGUAGCCUUUAAGAAGGUCGUACUAAUUAGUCGCCUUUAAGAAGGUCGUACUAAUUUUUAAAGUCUCAGCAGCCUUUAAGAAGGUCAUACUGGGCGGGAUUUUUAAAGUCUCAGCAGCCUUUAAGAAGGUCAUACUGGUCGGGAUUUUUAGUCGCCUUUAAGAAGGUCAUACUAAUUUUUAAAGUCUCAGCAGCCUUUAAGAAGGUCAUACUGGCCGGGAUUUUUAGUCGCCUUUAAGAAGGUCGUACUAAUUUUUAAAGUCUCAGCAGCCUUUAAGAAGGUCAUACUGGCCGGGAUUUUUAAAGUCUCAGCAGCCUUUAAGAAGGUCAUACUGGCCGGGAUUUUUAGUCGCCUUUAAGAAGGUCGUACUAAUUUUUAAAGUCUCAGCAGCCUUUAAGAAGGUCAUACUGGCCGGGAUUUUUAGUCGCCUUUAAGAAGGUCGUACUAAUUUUUAAAGUCUCAGCAGCCUUUAAGAAGGUCAUACUGGCCGGGAUUUUUAAAGUCUCAGCAGCCUUUAAGAAGGUCAUACUGGCCGGGAUUUUUAAACGCCUUUAAGAAGGUCGUACUUAUCGAUUCUUCUUCUUAUAAAAAAAAAAAAAAAAAAAAAAAAAAAAAAAAAAACCCUGCAAAACAAAUCUCAAAGGUCGAAAAGAUUAUUCUAGAAUAUAACUCCGCGUUUCAUCUUUAUAUUUUCCUUGGCGGGACUAUUGCUUCCAUGCUCGUUUAAUCAUGGCGUGUUGAUUGGCGAGUUCUAUCCUUUCAUUCAUCUAGCUCCUGGGCGGACUUAUUAGUAUCCCAACCUUGAUUUAUCUGAAAUAUAACAAUACCUCCGAACUUCCAAAGUAAAUAAAUAAAAGAAAUUGAAAGUUUUAAUCAUAUUUAAUUGUCUAUUUUUUAUACAAAACUGAUUAUCCACAUAUUAUAUUUAUAUGAUACCACUCGAAUUGCAAAACAGGAAGUUUGAUUAAUAAUAUGGAUAGCUAGCUAUGAUACUAGCAUAUGCUCCUAUGGGAAGAAAUAACACAUCAGGAUAUUCUUGUUGGUAGCUAAAUAAAUUCUUAACUAAUAAAGGGAAUUACUAUAUGCUUGUCGAGAAGUCGAGUUUCAGUAGGUUAAUUCUACCUUAUAUACUUGACUAUUAGUUAGUAGGAUGGUAAAACAAACAUAUUUCCUAACUAACAAGAUACUAAUAAAAGUAGAGAUCAAGCUUUAUCAAUACUAGAACUUGGUACAUUAGCAUGUGUUGAAUGAAUCUGACAUGGACUUUCUAGCAAUUUGGAUUUACUGAUCUUGAUCUGCCUUCCUAUAAUUUCUCUUAGUACAUCAUUUAAAGAUAAUCAUAGUAUACUCACAAAAAAGGACAAUAUUAUACUUUCAAUUACACCAUACUAUGUUUCUAGGCAAACUCAACACAAUCUUAAAAGUUCAUGACUUUUGUGCAGUUUUAAAAUAUGUACCUGAUUCCUUAUGGAUGAUUUCAAAGGUAUGAAAGUUUAAAACUUACGGUGAAGUCGAUCAUACCAUGCUCUUUUAGUUUCUGUAGCAGUCAAAAUGAGUUGAUACGUCAACGCCUUAAAAUCAGUAUAUCGAUGCUAUUAGUCGCCCUAGCUUGUCAUCUUGAUUCCUCCUCCAAACUUUUUCGCCCUUUAACUUGUUUAUCAAUAGCAUCCUAUACCCAUGCUUUCUUUAUUCUAACCUUUCUUCGUGGUACAACCUAUAUUGGUCUAUUUUACAUAGCUAUUUCCUAACGAACCAAGAGGGGUAUCUGUUCGCCUAAUUGAAAACAUAUCUCGAUCGCAGCUUCCACAACAAAGGAAUUAAUAAACAAUAAACAAAUUAAUUCACCAAUUAAAUAUAUAUUAUGAUCCUUAUGCAUAUAAUCUGGUAUAACGCUGCUUUAUGGUUUGUUGAUGUCCUUUCAAGACGGCGUUGGUCGGGUUCAUGGCGGUGUGAUUCUUAGCGGCUUCGAUGAUGAGACGGAUGCCCGGAGGUCAGUGACGACGGCAUCAAACAAGGCUGGAUUGAAGUGUGGCCCGGGUCAGUUUUACCGGUUCCACGCUCACUGCAUUUUUGUCUUUUCCAGGGGCGUUUUGUGCAAUAUAUUGAAACCGGCCAAAUCAAAUACACAUCACAAAUAGUUAAAUAAAUAAAUGAGAAUCUCCAGUAUCAUGUUGAUAUUUCAAGUUCCAUAAAUUAUGAUGAUUUCUAGAAGAAAACUAACAACGUGUGUAAAUAGUAAAUGAAUAUUGAGAAGCUUACUAUAGGCUCACGAUAGGCAAGCUUUAUUAUAACCAAGAAACAUCAACAAUAUUAAAAACUAUACAUUCAGGAUUGCGCAUAAUAUGAUGAAUAAAUUACUAACAAGGUGAAUAUAACGUUAUAAAUCUUUCCAAUACUAUUAGUUAAAUUAAUGAAUAUAAAGUAGAUUAAAAACAUGUGGUGGAAAUUUCAUUAAUGAAUAGCAGAAAGGUUUAAACAUAUGGUAGCGCAAUGGAACAGAAGAUAGUAACACAAAUAGCAAAAAUUAAAGAUCUCAUGAGUGGUUUUAAUUUGGAAACUAAAUCAAAUGCACAUAUAGGUCAAUAUUUGAUAAUGGAACUUACAACGGGACAAAACAAUUCUGCCAUCAAAUACGACUUUAAAAAAUAUGUCCAUGAGAAAGAUAAAUCAAUUUUUCAAGGGAUAAAGCCAAAAUAUUAACUCAAAUCAAUAUAGUCUGCUCGAUGACGACGCCACGUUGCAAAACUUAGCUUUAUAUUGAAAAAGAAAAAAGAAACUUAGACAUAGCAUGUGUAAUAUGCAGAAGCAUAACUAAACUUAAAUAGAUACCUGAUAUCGUAGCCAUUUUUUGUAAAUAAAAACAACCAUAUACUUGAUAUCGCGAGUAAUAAAAAGAUAUAACCUGGGACCUGCUUUGAUCGAAGCUUUUGUUUGAGCUUUUGUUGCGGUUUCCGCAGAACAAGCAACAAAACAAAUAGGACCAAACGAUUGUACAAGAGUCUUACGAUGUGAAACUUGGCGAGAUGGAUUGAUGACCCACAGGCUGAUGAGCUCUUUCAUUGCCUCUACGACGUCGUCAUCGAAUCGGUCAGACAUCACGGUGAUGAAAGGGCAAGGGUGUUUCUAAAUCACGGUUAGGGUUGCGAUUUAGAGGUUGUGAUUUUUCUUUCUAAAUUGCGAUUAGGUUUGCGAUUUAGAGGUGAGGGGUGGCCUAGGUUAGUUUUACCGAGUUCCCACAGACGGCGCCAACUGUACUUGCAAAAAAAAGUACGGUAAGGAUUCUAGGGUUAAGAAUCGUAGACUAGGGUUCUAAUCUAGAGUUUUAGACUGAAUAAUAAUGGAUCCUUUUAGAAUGACCCCAAGAGGGUUAUUUAUAGCCUGCUAAUGGGCAUUUUCCUGCGUGACUUAAGCUCUAAGAAAGCAGGGUUUUUAGUCUUUUUAGCUCAUUUAGGCGGUUUAGGGCGACUUCUAGAGGUUUCUAGAAGCCGAGGCAGACGGCGCCCUGAGGAGGACGCGCCUAGGCCUCCAAAGUCCCUUCUAUAGGGCGCCUAAACCCUUCUGGAGGGCUUUAAGCCCUUAGGAAUAUUAUGACGGUCCACAGCCCUCCAAGCACGAGGCUUGGAACAAGGCGUGGUGAUUAAUAAUGUGGAUUUGGCCCUUCUGGAGGGCUUUUAACCCUAAGGAAUAUUAUGACGGUCCAAUAAAGUACAAAAUAAAUUUUUAACAUAUUUUGGAUUGAGUCUAGCGAAGAGGUUAAACUUCACAAUGUGACGAAUCAAUGUUCAAAUUCUGUUUAAAACAUGUAUUAUAUUUAAUGUCUAACACACUUUGAUGGAAUUACCUCAACUGGGAGGUACCUUUUAAGAGAAAAAAAUAAAUAAAAAAUUUAUAAAUAUUAAAACUUUAAUAAUCGCACACUUUUUUACCCGUAUCAUACACUUAAGGGGUAAUUCUUUUAUACAAUUUUUUUUAUACAUACUUUCAAUCGUAUUCAAUAUUAAUUCACUUUUAAUUGUUAUUUUUUACUCAUAUCCUACACUCAAAGGGUAAUUUCUUUUAAACAGACUUUCAAUCGUAUUCCAAUUGAGUCACUUUGUGCCUCGAAAAAAAUAGUCACUUUGUGAUAUUAUAUUUUCAAAUAUAUGCACAAAUAAUAUAAUAUAUAAUGAGAUGAUUAUACGUCUUUAGUUAUUUUACAUUGUGAGCACAUAUUGAUUAAAUCUAUUUUUUUUAAAUACAUUUUAGUUAAGAUAUUUUUCCUUUUUUCAAAAGGUGGUAAGACAUUUCUAGCUUUGCCUCGAAUGAUGAUAUUUUGAAGCACUAUAUUCUUGAAAAAGUAAGAUGUUAUUCUAAUCACAUGUUUAAAAUAUUUGAGUUGCUUACCACUCAAAUCUUAACGAUUUGGUUAUUGAUUAUUAGUUGGGAUUCUCUUUUAUAAAAAUAUAUUGAUGAUUCUAUUUUAUAAAAGACAUGGACACAAUAGUUUUAAAUAAUUUAAAAAUAUUUUAAAGGCUUAAAUAUGCUUUUCAUCCCUGUAAUUAUAGGCCAUUUGAUUUUUCAUCCCUGAGCUUACUAAUCCUCCCAUUUUGCCCCUGCAAUUACUAAUCAUUUUAAAAUUCGUCCUAAUUACAAAAAUUUGUUGAGGUGGAGGGUAAUUAGAUACGUGGCAUUUGGUGAAUGGAGUUUUGUCAGGACACGUCAGCAGAUGGCGAGGGAAAUGACAUUUUUGCCCUUAAUGAGUUUGUUAUCGCGCGCAAUGACCAUUUUACCCCUGCCUCCAUCUUUUCUUCUUCACGUAUUCUUCUUCUCUUCUCAAUCAGAAACAUGAAAUUGGGGGGAAAAUGUUCUAGGGUUUAGGGUUGAAAUGCGAAUUGGGGAAAAUUGUUGAGAAGAUUUCGAUUGGAACUCGAUUGUGUAACACCCCGUUACCCAAAAGCAAUUAAAUAACAAAUAUUCAUCAGAGUAAUUCCACAACGGGCAUGCUACACGUCAUUUCAAAAUUUCUUAAAUAGAAAAUAAAACUAUUUAGUCAAAACAACUUGAUAUAUAUGAAAACAUAGCAGCGGAAUAGUUUUCAAAUCCAUAACCUCAUGAACAUCCAACAACAGUCUAUGGCAUUAAAGGCCUUAGCAUAAGUCAACAUCAUUGUUCAAAAGACAAUAAAAGGCUCCACAUCACAAUUCCAAAAUUUGAUACAUGGAAAGGAAAAACAACAAUAAUAUAAAUAAUAAUUCCCAUCCCACGUAUCAGAGCCCUAGACACGACAUUGAGCCACCACCAACUACUCAGGAUCACCUGCAAGUUACCCAUAGGAAGGGCAACAUUUUCAAGCAGAAGGGGUGAGAUUCACAACAAUAAAUAUAGAUAUUAAAUCUUCAAUUGAAUCUAAUACCCUAUAACAUCAAAUACAUUAUCUUGCAAAUAUACAUAAUUAGUUCACAAGCAACAACAGCAUCAUCAUAAUCCACUUAACAAGUAUGUAUACAAUGUACAUAUUCACCAACAACAUCAUCAUCAUCAAGUAACAACCAAAAUCAACAACUAAGACUCAUGCAAAUGACAUGACAACACUGCUAAGACAACACCUUAGACUUCUCAAUGGAUGCAAAUAUGCAUGUGGUACCAAACAGGACCGAAGCCCUCACCGCUUUUGAAUGGUUAAAGCAUUCAUCAGGGCCGAAGCUCUCACCGCUGUUGAGCAACUAGUACUCCAGGACAUGAGUCAUCUCCGCUGUUUUAUGCAUAUGCAAUGGACCUACUUGUGUAUAUCUACAUACAACUGACCAUGCAAUGCAAACUUCAUGUGACACCACUUAAACAACAUGUGUGAUUCAAUAAAUAACAUACAUUUCAGUCAUCAUCAGUAAUCAUCAAUCCAGCAAUCCAAUCAUCCCAAAUAAUGCAUAAUUACAUAUAACCAUGCUAAAAACUACAACAUCAAACACUACCAUCCAUACAAACAAACAGCACUCAGGAACUGUGCAACUCGCCUCGCGAGCACAUCUACUCGCUAUGUCGAGUUCACAAAACUACUUGCUCGCCAUGGCGAGUUCAAGGCGAACUCGAGGCGAGUGAAAAAUAGGUGCUCUCGGGAAAAAUGACAUUUUCUCACUCCAACUUCUAUACUAAGCUCCCUAAUCAUCUUUUUAACCUGAAAAUUGUUCCAGUCUUCAUUAUUAUCAUCUAGGUACCUUAAACCAUCCCCAAAACAUCUUAUAACAACUUUUUAAAAAUCAAGUUUUAAUCUGGGCUACUCGCCAUGGCGAGUUGGUCUGCUCGCGAGGCAAGCUAUGAAGUUGCUCACUCGCCAUGGCGAGCAAGGCUACUCGCGAGGCGAGCGAUGAACUUUUGUACGGGCAGAAAACUGGUGUCAUACCCCAAUUUUUGACCUAAGACAGCACUGACACGUGUCAUUUAGCUCCGACCGGUCUCAGCCCUUCGAGCAAAAAAUUCGGCAGGGAGGUAUUUUAAAAUACCUCAUAGUUGAUUCCGAGUCGGGCCCUCUUCUCUCAAUUUUCAAUUUUUUAUUCAAAUUUUAUGUUUCCAUCUUUUUUAUUUAGAAUCCUUUUUUUAUUGACUUUAAAUUCAUUUUUUUAAUCUUUAUUUUAUCUCAUUUAUAUUCAUUUUUUAGUCCUUUUAUUUUAUUUUUAAUAUCCAAAGAAAAAAUUAAAAUGCUGUCCGAUAAUAUCCAAAUAAACAGCACAAAGCCUCAUGCUUCCUCUCCAAGCCACAAAAACAGCCUGUCAUGUUCCUCUCCUAGCCACAAAAACAGCCUGUCAUGUUCCUCUCCAAGCAACAAAAUUGUCUUAAUCACAAGCUCUAUAAAUAUAACAUUACAGACACAAUCAAAAAGGGACAGAAUUUCAAUUGCAAAACCUGCAAAUCACAUAACACCACAAUCGUUUUCUGAAUCAACACAAACACAAUUUUUCAUCAUCAUUUCCGCACAAUGUUUUAACCCAGAACCAGCAACCAAAAUCCAACAACAAACCACCACAACCAUCGAACCAAGAUCCAAAGUAAAAGAGGUAUAAAGAUUUUUCUUUUUCUUUCUAGAUCUAGGAUAAACAGUGUUUGUUUUAGAAGUUUUGAACCUAGAAUCAAAAAGAGAAGAAGAAGAGGUCUUAAAAAAACGUUUUUUUUAAAAAAAAGGGGAGUUUUUUUCCGGCGCGGUGGCGCCGCCGCGACAACUCGCCGGCCACCGCGCCGGAAACUGAGUUUCACGGUGGUGUUCUUCAACACUCACCGGAAACUUCAUCAAAAAAAACAGAAGAAAGAAGAUAAGAAGAGAGAGAAGAGAGAGUACGUGAGAGAAAAAGAAAGUGAAGAGAGAGAAGAGAAAAAAAGAAAUGAAGGAAAAAGAGAGAAAUGGGUAUUUAUACCCCUUUUAUUUGGCAGAUUAAAUCAAGGCCGUUGAUCAAAUCAACGGCCGAGAUUCGAUCUCUGAGGUCCAACCUUGUUCUUGGCCCAUCUUUUUCGUUUUAUUUUCUGCACCCCCCUUUACUGCUCACACACCCCCAGCAUCUCAUUUUUUCUAAUUUCUUUUUCAUGCAUUUUAAUUCUCGCUCUAUCUGUUAAUCCAGAGUGCUCUGGUCCAAAAUUAACUUAAUAUUAUAUUCUUGCUUAAUUUAGUUAUUCUCCAGAAUAAUCUGGUCCUAUAUUAACUAUUAAUAUUAUAUUUCUGUUUAAAUUAAUUAUUCUCCAGAGUGCUCUGGUCAUUGUUAAUUAAAUUAAUCCAGAGUGCUCUGGUCCUAAAUUAACUGUUAAUAUUAUAUUUUUGUUAAUCCAGAGUGCUCUGGUCCUAACUUAAAUGUUAAUAUUUAUUUAUUUUUGUUUAAUUUAAUUAUUCUCCAGAAUAUUCUGGUCCAUGUUAAAACAACUUCACAAUUCAGCUUAACUUCAUUUUUCUCAUUCUGCUUAUAUAAUUUUCAUAUCUUUAUUCCAAAACAACAAAAACAUUUAAAUAACAAAUCACAAAAAUAUUUUUUCAUUACAAACCUUGAUUCUCAAAUCAAGUGAUCGUUCUUUUUAUUUUUCUUAAUCAAAUUUCAAAUCAAGUCUAAUUCAACUUCAAGUCAAUUUUCUUCAAUCUAAAAAACACAAAUCAAUUCUCAUUUGCCAUUUGGCUUUUUAUUUCAAAACCUUUUUCAAAACAUAUAAAAAACACUAAACAGAUCAAACGUCAAUUUCUACCCCGAACUACGAGGUUUUGAUCCCUCACGGGUACGUAGGUAGAGGACCUUGUCCUUCCAAAUCAAUUAAAAAACAAUUUUCUUUUUUCUCUUUUCAAUUAUCAACUAAAAAACAAUUUUCUUUUGCCUCUUCAAUUAAAAUCAAUUUUCUUUUUCCUUUUCAAUUCAUCUUUCAAUUCCAUUUUCAUCUUUUUAAAAGCAAGCAAGUUUAAGCACAAAAAGUUAAAUAAAAUCAAGAGGUUCUCGUAGAGUACUACGAAUAUUUAGGGUGCUAAUACCUUCCCUAAAUAUAACCAACCCCCGAACCCUAAAUCUCUUCAAAAUGGGUGGUUUGGAACUUUUUCCCCUUAAAAAAAAUUUGUUCAGUCGUGAGAUAAAAAGUGAGUCAAAAGCUAAUCAAAUGGCCUUGACAUCCGAAAAAUGGCGCGGCAACUGGUUUUUCCCAAAAAUCCCAUUUUUCUUCCAAUCACUCCCCAAAUCAGUUUACAGAUGAGAAAUGAAUGUUUCUAUGCAACCAAAACCAAAUUCUAACAUCAGAACAGCAAUAUCUACCCCAAAAACCAUUAAUUCAAUUUAUACCCAAUUCUUCAAUUUCACUCCAAAACCUGUUAAACUCAAAAUCAGACUUUAAAAUCUACACUAUUGAAGUAAACCUCACCCUUACCUUAAAUUUGCAGAAGAAAUGCACAGCAAAAAUCAACUCUUGGUUCUUCCUUGGUUCUCUCUUGCUUUCUCCCAAAACUGGUUCUACGUGAAACUGAUUCUAACUUCUCUGUAUAACUUCCCACUCAAAAGUAACUCCCUUCUAAUUACACUUAACUCCCCAUAAUUUCUAUUAACUUCUAUUAACUCCCCAAACACCAAAAUAAUUAUUAUUUCAUACUUAUUCUAAUUAUUAUCAAAUAAACCAUAUAAUAAAAUAAUACACCACAUAAAUCACUCAAAAAUCACGCAUAUAUAUAAAUAUAUACAUAUACUCCACAUAAAUCACCAACAUCAUAUAUAACUAUAUAUAUACUCCACAUAAAUCAAAUUAAUUAAAUAUAACAACUAGGACGUUACAGAUUGCCUCCGAAAAUUGGUGUUGGAAUCUCUAUUGGAACGCAAAGCACUAAAUCGAACUCGUUUGUAGAAAGGUAUCGUGAAGAAGAAAAACCCAGGUACCAUCGUUUGUUUGUAUAAAUAUGUUGUUUGUAUAAAUAUGUUAGUUUUGUUUGUUUUUUCGGUGAAAUAGAUGAUAAAAAACAUGUGGGUUUCUAUUUUCGCAUGCUUAGUGUGGUGCAUUUUUGUACCAUUGUUGUGUUGCUGAGUGAGUGUAUUUUUGUUUCAGAAUGCGUGAAGAAGAAAAGAUGGAGGCAGGGGUAAAAUGGUCAUUGCGCGCGAUUCCAGACUCAUUAAGGGUAAAAAUGUCAUUUCCCUCGCCAUCAGCUGACGUGUCCUGACAAAACUCCAUUCACCAAAUGCCACGUAUCUAAUUACCCUCCACCUCAACAAAUUUUUGUAAUUAGGACGAAUUUUAAAAUGAUUAGUAAUUGCAGGGGCAAAAUGGGAGGAUUAGUAAGCUCAGGGAUGAAAAACCAAAUGGCCUAUAAUUACAGGGAUGAAAAGCAUAUUUAAGCCUUUAAAUCAAAACAUGUUAUUAUAUUUCCUCUGCUCAUUCUGUCAACAAAAUUGCUUUGUCCAUUUGCCAUUUACCUCGACAAUCCAGACUCGCAGCAUUACUAUGCAAAUUAAAUUUGAGUGGAUACCUGCAGCUUUCUUUAUUAUUUUUCUAAUUAGAUCACCAUGACAUUGUAGGCGUGCGUUUGCACAUCCACAAACAGAUUAGUAUAUAUAGUAUAUACAGAAUAGUAUAUGUUCCUGACAUAAUUGAAUAUAUCGAUUCCAUUUUACAAAAUUCUGUUAUGGCAUAUAAAACUGGAUUGGUUCUUGGCUUUCUAUAUGCACAACGAGUGAAUUACGUUGAAGAAAGUUAUGUUGAUUCUCAUAUCAAAAUGGAAUGGAUUAAAAAAAUUCUCUAGCUUAAAAUUGAGUUCAAUCUUCAUAAAAUUGUAUGCAUCAUGCAAUUUUAUUUAGUACAUCAUUUAACGCGUUCAAGAAUAAGAUGUUUUUUCAUUCUUGUUUUAGUUCCCUAUUUAUAUUUUAUAAAAAUGAAUAUAAUGCAAGUAAAUAGCAACUACAGAGCAUGAUGAAUUUUGAAGGACAACAACCCAGGCAAUUCAUCCACAAGCUAGCUCAAGCUAAGUAAAAUUUUCUUCCGAGAAAAUUUCAUUUAGAUCACAAUAUCUGCUAAAACUAAAAUUGCUAGGAAGAGAGAUAUUUAUUUAACAUACAACAUGUAGAAUAAAGGAUAUAUCGGAUGUCACAAUGAGAUAGCCCCGCUUGAACAAGGGUUUACUCCUGACGAUGACUAAAUUUCUCUCUUUUUUUUUUCUUUUCUUGCAAGACCUCUCAAGCAGUCAUGGAAGAGUUCAUCUCAUUCAGUAUGCGAUGGUACCUAUUAUGCUCUGCGGUGUUUUUGAAGCCAGGCAGAAAAUCUGUAAAGAAUCUUAGAACUGCUGCAAGAUGUUGGGAGUCAUUGGAUACAAAAGCUGCUUCUAAGAACAACGAUGGUCGGAUGGUAUCCACCUGAAAAUAAUUCUCACACCAGUUAGCUUUGGAGUUCUAAAAUUAAAACAAAAUCAUAAACGCAAACCCUGUGAAACUUUCACGCUUCGUUAUACACGCUCUACAUGAUAACUACUUGAAGCAGCUCUUGAUGGUAUGCUUCAGUACAUUAUAAAUUUGCUUCAGAUAGCAAAUACGCAUAUACUUUAUAGUUACAAGAUCGACAAUUUGAAAAUUACAUUAAUCUUUGUUCGUAAAAAGUUCACAAUUCAAAUUUCAAAAUUAGUAAAGCACCAGAGCCUCUCCAACUACACCAACAACGUAAACAUCUCAGUUUAUGAUCAUAAUUCAUAAAUAGUUACUCAGUCAGUGAAGUUUCAAUGCAGUAGCAGCAACAGCUUUUCCAUUAACUGGAAUUGAUUAGAUGGAUAGCACAAUGGCAAAAUAUCCUAUUAUGAUUCAAUGCAGUAAAUAAUUAUUUUUUUCAUCAGUGAUGACACAAUCCAUCUUAAACAAAGUGACAUGGUUCACCCCACUAGCUCGAUUUGAAUUGGCAAAGCAACCUGUGCUGACACAGUCACUUGCUAGACUACAAUGUUAGGGGAUGGACCGCUUUACACUGCAGAGGUAUGGAAAUAGCUAACUGUGAUGACGCAGUCAAAUGAGUCUUGUUCCAGCAUGGACCAUUCAUAUUUUAACAUCGUAAAAAAGUAAUUUUAAUAUAUUAAUUUUAAUAAUUUAUAAAAAUGGUCUUAAUUACUUUUAGUUGCAUUUUAAUCUUUGUCCAUGAGAAUGCUGCGGUAGUUUUUAAAAAAGUGAAAGAGCUUAAGCCAUUGCUAGCCUGAAAUUCACGUUUGAGUCAUAGAAUGCAUAUUGCCAUGGCUACUGCACAUGCUUAAAUCACCCGAUCUCGUAUUUUUCUUUAUGUGACAUCUGAUGGUUGGAAAAGGUGAGGAAACCUUUUACUUAUGCAUUACCCCAAACUCUAACACCUUGAUGAAACCCAGGUUUACUGCUCAUGUACAGGGUGUUUUCCAACCACAAGCAACCAAACCACUCAAUAAUCACAUCACACGACAUACAUAUUAAACAUCAGAUGAAGUGUAUUCUACCAUGCAAUUAAUACAUGGUUGGCCUUCUAAUGACUGGCAUCCCUGCUGCAUGACGGUGGAAGCUUCCUGAAGCCAAGUCAAGGCUGUCCCGGGAGCAGCUACUGCAGGUUGAUACUUGAUAGUGAAAAGUCACGAGUGGGGAAGAAAUUUCCGAGAUCGUGUGUGCCGAUGGAUAAAAUGGCAUUCAGUGGGAAACAAGAUCAGGUCAAUGGAGAUGACGUGGCCCUGGCUGUUACUUUUCAUUGUUAGCCUGAGGCUUCCUCAACCCUCUUCCCAGCUUCCGCAAAGAAAACAUUUAAUCAAGGCCAUGAUGCAAGGUGGGUCCUAGCCAUAAAGUCUUACUAAUCCAGAGAGGAGAGUUUUUCGUUUGCAAGGGUAGUUUAGCUCCCUUCACCCGGCAUGCUCUUAGCCUGCUUUUAAGUUUGUCUUGCCAGGGUGAAUAACUUAGGCAAGGCACUUGAAAUUUCUAUCAAUCAUGGGUCGGCAGACCUCUAUGGAAAUGGAAUAUGGGGGCACCUAAACACUACCACUAAAGAAGGACUUAAUUUAAUUUUACUGUUUAAAAACACAUAAUCUAUUUUCUGCAAAGGGAUUUCUACAAAUGCAGUAAAUAAAAAGUCAUCGGCAGACACAGAAAACUGGACGAAUGGAAUUUCUACAGCGAUAAAUCCUACAGAAUCAUGAGAAAACGGUAGCACCUAUUCAUCAUAUUUCCAUCAUCUCCCUGUUCUUUUAAGAACUUAAAACACUGCAAAAUUACUUUCCAGAACAGGAUCAAGCAAAGUAGAAAUUACCUUAUACUUCCGUGCAUAUCGCAAGGCUUCAAGGUAGUAUCCAUCUUGCACUAGCAACACUACAUAAUCAUUAUGUAAACCAAGCUGUCUCAGCAUAUCCAGACCAAGCUUUCUAGUUUGGGUAUUCUGACGACCAGACUCUAGGAGCUGCAAUGCAACUUCCUUAGAGGGCUCCAAAAUCUGCAACAAAAAGUCUCUUCUCAGAAUUAAAUUAACUCUAAUUCAGCAUACAGGUACCUAAUAUCUUCACAAUAAUACUAUACAGAGAAAUCGGUAACCUUAUUUACGACAAACAACCCCAAUUCAGCAUAGCGUUCAUUCCGCACCAGAAGUUGAAUUAUCAAUACAUAUAGAUUUGGGAGCACACGAAUCUUUUCCAAAUUUGCACUGCAAUGAUUAAUGAAGAGCAUUGAGAGCUGAUUCUCAAGAGUGGCAGUAAAAGUCAUGAUCAGAUAAAAAAAUAGCAUAUUAAAUUAAAGUCCCCAAAUUUGCAUCCAUCAUUUCAAUGUUUUUUUUAAAUAGUUGAAAUCAUAUAUCUCAUUGUCACACAUUAACAGUGGAAAAACUAAAAUCCAUUAGAAACUAGAACACUAAUCUAUGGAAUGCCUUGAGACUCAAACCAGCUUUUUAACAACCAAAAAAAAAAAAAAAAAAAAAAGAGUAAUAUUGGCAAACCUGUGAAGAAACUCAAUAAUUAUAGCAACCAAGUAAGAAGGGUCUCCCACCAUCUCUUCAUCAACAGGCGAAAAGACAAAGUUGUACAUCUCAUCGGGUGAGAUUGCUGCUGAAGUAAGUUGGGAUUCCUCUUGCACAGACAGUAAAGAUGAUUGCAUAACAUAAGAACUAUGAGCUUCAUUACUUGGGGAGUUCUCAUUGUUUACACUACCACCAACAUAGGCUUCCUUUGAAUUAUGUUCAAGAUUUGUAAAAUGUGAUUCAUCCUCAGAGUCCAAAGUUUCGCUGUCGACUCUGGCGGUAGAUUCGUGUAUGAUCGAUUUCCCAAUUGCAUCUCUUUCUAUAGUAGAUACAUCAGCGUCAGAAUUUUGUGCACCAGAAUUUAAUGGCAUCUCUGGUUUCAGCCCCUUCAGAUAGCUACAAGUUUUAAUUGAAUGGGAGUACGAGGAGACUAGUACAUUUAUAGCCUUGGCAACCACAGGCACAGGUCUGCGCUCUAGAAUAAGUGUCUGUGUUAUACCCAAGCACAAUUGUUUAGCCUGAAAAGGAAGAAAUGAAGUAAGCUGAGAUUUGUAAAAUAAUCAUCAAUUGAUUAGUUCAAAGUUUCGGAACAAAAUGAAUACUAUCAAUAAUUGUAGUUUAGAACCAAUUAAAAAGACAUCUAAAUCAAUAUCAAUAUAAAACAACUUCCUUUACAGCCAAUUUAGAUGGGGAAUUAUGCCAGAAUUACAUUUCAGACUUACAGUGCAAUACCUUGAUAGAGAAUACAGGGAAUUCAAUACUCAGGUUUAGCAAUAAAUUUACAAGUCGUCCACAGUACCCCAUAAAAAUUAUAUAAUUUUAUCUAACAGUCUUGAAUACAGUUGACUACAUAACCUUCCAAAUUUGCUAGGGUAGAUGAUACUACUCAAUUGUAACACAUAUCGUAGACAGGUAAGAGUCUUAAGUCUCAAAUGCCUGUUGAUUGCUCAAAUAUUAUCUCCUAUAUUAAGGGAUGCUUAUGUCUAAAGGGCCUUUAAAUGACUUAUAGAAAAAUUUCUGCUAGUUUUAAACCCACUAAAUGAAAUAAUAGUGUAAUUGAUGCCUAGAAGUGAAAAUUGCUAAACAUAUGUGAUCAUUAAAAAUAACUGGAGUAGAAGCUCAAAAAAUAAGAUGACAAAAAAGGCUAUGCCAAAGGAAGAGUAUGGUUGGCCAGUGAAACAAGGCAGACUACGUUAGACUAUGGCAAAGAGACCUAUGGCUGGAAGUGACACAGUCAGACUUCAAAGAAGCAAAGAGGAUGGGUACUUAAUUUUUCUGCCCAGUGCCUUCCUUUGUCUGAUGCUAAGCCUGCAACCCUUUGUCUGAUGCAAAGCCUGCAACAUCUAGUAGUAAGGGGUCAUCAUCUAGUAAGGUGAUGAAAUUUACCAAGUAAGGGCAACUAAAAGCCUUUUUGAUUCUGAAUCAGCUUAUAGAUGAAUAAGCUAACUGGGAACAUAGCUGCAGCUUGCAGCCCCUAGAAAUAUAGUUUUCAAUACAAAAGUGGCCAAAUUCCAGUUACAAACUGACUGACUACUGGUAAACUUGGUUUAAAUUAAAAAGAAACAGCUAACAACAACAGCUUCACUAUUGCAUCUUGAAUAAUUAAUCAAUUAGAAGCAUUGCUGUAAUGAAGUUGGGAUGGAUGGAUUGAACAUACCUUGUUAGCCUCUAACUUACGCCGCUGCAGGAAGUCUAAUAUUGAUGGUACAUCUGAGUUGCUGGCGGAAAUUGCCUACAAACUAAGGUUAUUCAUUUCACGGAAGCACAACAAAUUUGACAUUGAUACCAAAAUGAAUAAAAUACUUACUUCUAAGUCUAAAUUGAAUUUCCAUAAUAGCUUAUUGGCCACAUCGCAUACGAGGUCAGGCACCAGGAAAAUCCAUGAAUCAGCAUAUGUAACUGCUUCAUGGCUACUCGCAACAUUACCAUCUGAACUUUCACUUUCUCUGCCACUAAAUUGAGAUGAGCUACUGGACCUGGGGAAACCCCUUAACAAUAAAGGAAGUGGUGCGGAUAUUGGUGCUCGAGAAUCUGCAAAGAGAUCAUAAAGUAUGACAACCUUUGCAUCAACUUGAUGAAUAAGAAGUACAUUGUCGACCACACUCCCAGCAAUCCUGCUGGAAUAAAUUGGUAAAGAUCCCUGCAAAUAUCAGGAGCAUCGGUCUCAUUUUUAUUUUUCAGAUGUGCAUAGUUCAAUGAAUCACACAACCAUUGUUAUCAUACAAGAUCCAGGAUAUAAUUACAUGUCCCAUGUGGACAUGUUUUAUUUGUGUGUCUAGCUAAAACAGAUUUACACACUUUUAAGAAUUGCAAUAGGGAUGUACAACAUAUGUAAAAUUUGAAGCUAGAAAUUAAUUUUAAUUGAUCAGAAGAAACAUAAUUGUAUUAAGAUAAACUCAAUUAAUCUUACAUUUAUUAAUUUGCAAAUUUCUGAAAUUACAUAGAUCUAAUUCUCCAUAUUACUAAUGAAAUUAUUUCAGAUCGCUUGUUGCUUAUGAAAUCAUACAAUGAACUAAUACUGAUUUGUAUCUAAUUUUCUGUCAGUAAAAAAUGUUUUGUGGAAUGUAUAAAUAACCCAAGAUUGUAAAGGACAAGGAUCACAAACAUUCAUUUUAUCUGUUUAACAGUGUGAAUUAUAUUUGAUGUUAGAGUUUCGCCAGAGUGAAAUAGAAGGGGAAGAUUUCCUAAAUAAAAAAUUAGCAUAUGUUCAGAGAAGCUCUCACAAAUGUUAUUGUAAAAAAGAACUUUUGGCUGAAUUAUAAAGUCAAUAAGAAAUUAGAACAAAACCCCACCUGUUGUAUCACUGCAUCACGAUAUAGCCUAUAGGAAUGGAGUAGCAUUGCAACUCUAUCGACUUGCAAGCAGUAUAUCCUACCAUAACUGUGAUUGAUCAUUAAAAAAACUUUCAACAGGCAGCUAUGUAAAUUACAAAGGUCUAAGGUUGACGAAGAAAAUAACUGGUACAUACACAGUGACAAUGAAGAUGUCUUCAGCUGCUAAAACGGGCUUACUAUUUGCCUCAGAUUUGGCCAUAACCAUCUCAAACCUUGGUAAGCGUACAAUAUCUGCAGAUGAAAUCUAACCAGAGAUGUUUUACUAUCAGUCAAAUGAAUUAACACAGGAAAACUAUCAGAUAAAAUCUAUAUUGAUACUGAAGGAUCGUGAUAAGGACUAUUUAAGUACCUGCAUUCUUUUCUGAACAAUAAUGAUAUAUCUUUGAUUGAAACAAAAUAAAUUACGAAUCCUAUAUGAUAUAAAUAUCUUAUUGUACUAAAACUAAAAGGAAAAAAAGAAGUACAUAGCACACUCCCAUACCUGAAAUCCAUGGAAUGUCUUGCACUGCAUUCCAGAUGCAAGAAGAACCAAGCGGCUUUCAUGUGUAUAAACAUACCAACUAACAUUCAGUUUCUUUGUUUCCACCAAUUGGAGUGAUUUUGACUCUGAUUUAUAUGCACACAAGUCUAGACCACUGUAAAAAAAUGGAAUAAGUCUCUUUACUUAAGAAACAAACAAGAAAAAAGGAGGAAGGCAAAAUACUUGGGGAGUAGUGUCAUAUUUGAAACAGUCUAGAAUACAAUAUUAGAGCAUAGUGGCAAAAGUCCAAUGCAAAAACUCAUGCCUUCAUAGCUCUCGUAGGAUAAGGUUUUUUUUUUUAUUUGCAUCAUUAUUUUGCUCAGCCAACAAAACAUUUUAGCAUAUUAUUUUGACAGAUAUCUUAAGGAACUGCAAGACUUUUUUUAAAUAAAAAAUGUUUGGGGAUCGGGAAAAUGAUUAAACUCCUUCAGUUGAAAACAAUCGUUCGCGGGGGGGGGGGGGGGGGGGUCGAACUCCUUCCCAUGAGAUUAAAAUGUUAAACUCUUAUCAUUGAGCUGACGCCUCAUGGACACAGACUGCAAAACUUAUUCCUGUAAUAAAUAUUUUUUAAUAUUUAAUAGUAAUCUAAAGCUAUUAGAUUAUGUACCUUUUCUUUGCCUUACAAUAUGCUUCUUCCCAAAAAACUAAAAGAUAAUUAAAUGUUCAUCCAAGACGAUGAAAAAUAAACAUAAAGAGAGGGGAAGAAAAGUAGGAGAGAGUCAUGUGCCACAGAUAUUGAUGUGAUGAGAGAACUAGAAGAAGAAAAAGAUAAAAAAGUGUCGAUGACGAGAGUUGCUGGACCCCUACCACGAUUACUAAAGAGCGCUAAUGAGUCCAUGACGAGAGUUUCAUAAUUUUCUAAAGACAAGUUUAAGCACCAGACUAGUAGAUCAAUGAAUAUGGUUUGUCCAAUGAAGAUUCUUAUAAACCUUAUGAUAUAAGACUCCAAAUUAUUUAAUCAUUCUCUAAAAUCCUAUACUAUAAUAGGACUGAAAAUUUCCCAGCCUGGAAACAUUUUUACUAACUUUUGGAUCUCUUCUGAACUUAAGAUCAGGACAUUAAAAAAAAUGCAUUAUUGACCAAUGUAAUUGAAUUAAAAAUAGAGAUGAUAAAAAAAUAAAAAAAAGGCAACCAUACUUGGUCUUAACAAUAACAAUGUCACACUGUCGACUGUCUGUCCAAAAAAAUCCAAGUAUACUUUCUGAUUCUGGCUUGCACUUAUGGCUAAACGUUUCCGCAGUUUCUCUAUCCCAAAACUGUAUCUCCUGGCCUGAUCGCUGGAUGGCUAUGACCUUUGUGUCUAAAGAAUACCGAAUAGCUAUAAUAGGGCCUUCACUUAUUGAGUCGGUGGUCGGACCAGUGAGAGGAUCAAAGAUACCGACUUUCCAUGAAAAGACCUAAACAUUACAAAAAUAUAUGUGAUUUAACAGUUGACCAUGAAAUAGACAGAUAACACAUCAUUUUGAUACAAUUCAGAAUGGUGGACGUAACACGCAAUUCAUUUUUCACCGAAAAACAAAUAUACGAAGCAUAUCAUGUUACCUGGUCAGCUGCUGGGGAGAGUAGUAACUUAUUUCCAUCGUCAUAAAAUAACCCCCCUGAUUCAGGAACAUUACACCGAAGCGGUGGAUACUGAAUGUAAGCAUGUGAGAGACCAUCAGAUCCUCUCAGACCUAUAGUAGGCUUUGAGGUUGUUGCUUUUCUAGACAUAUUUCUGCUUCUUGUUUACACAAUAAAUAGCUGGGGUAUAAAAUAAACUGCAGCAAAACAAUUAAAGUUAUUUACACUUAUGGAUGGUAAAAGGUUAAUGUAUCUAUUGUUAUCAGGAGAUAUGAGUGUUGAAGGUUAAACCUUUGCCUUCAAAAGCUUUACGACACUCCUCUUUAGACUGGUAAUUAGAAAUCUGUAUAACCAUCAAACUUUUUCUGUGCGUGUUCAAUGGCCCAGAAAGCAGAUGGACAUUCACUUAAACCUUCUUUUUGAGCUGUUAGGAGCAAUAUGUAUUUUUAAACAUACAAUAUUUAAUAGAAAUGCAAAAAUAAGUAACAGUUAUACAGUAGACACAACACAGCAUAAUAGAUCAAUAAUUUUAGGGGGAAAACAUGGAAAAACAAAAUUUUAUAAACUUAAACGGCUUGUAACUGUCAAAAGCCGUGACCCAAUUAAAUGAAGUUUGCAAAAAUGUUUCUCUUCAGUUUUUCCACAAUGCUGCUUGUGGUUGUAUUUCCCCAUGAAAUGUAACAAAUAGCUUUAUAGCUAAAAUACCGAGCCAGCGUGUAAAAAAACUUUAUGUCAAGAUAACUGUAGAAUAUGAUACCGUAUUUUGCAUACAACUUUUUAAUGCCAGAAACUCCGUUACACACAUAUCACGUUCAAUAUCUGGAACCUUAGCUGCAACACAACUCCCGUAUGCUUUCGCCUAUCCAAUGAGACUUAACCAUAUCAAUUUUCAUGCAUAAAUAAGACAUGUAGAAUGUAGGCUGAAGCCUAAAUGGAAAGAAAACAUAAAUCACACAACGGAUUCCCUCCACUUCCCAACAACCCGAUGGCUCGAUCAUAAUUACAUGUUUAACGCAUCUAAGUAAAUAAAUUAAACUUGGUUAUCGCAAGUGAUAAGUGAUAAAAUCAAGUCAACCAUUUAUAGGUACCAAAGAUUAGUGAACUUUAUCUUGUAUACGAGUUCUAAGUAACAAAAAUGAUAUAAAGAAAGCAUCCAAUAAGAAACCACCAUAUUGCCAUGUAUGCUUAUUUUAUAGAGUUUAAUGGAGGUACACUGCCAUCAUCCAAUAAGAUUCCAUCGGCUAUUAAUUCCUUGUAAGCAUAUAUUCUAAUCGCUUAUCAAAAAUGACCGCCAAAAGAUUAUCAACAGUCAAUUGUUAUUGGACGUCAGUGUAAAACUGGUUUAUAUUAACAGUUCAUGUCCCCUUUUCUCUAUUUUCUAACCGACUUUUUUGCAAAUAAUUAUCAAAUGCUCCAUUCUUGUUAAAUGUUGGUGUCGGUCUAAAACUCAUAACGUAAAAGGUUUUACUCGGCACAUUAAAAUUUCAUAUCGUAACCAAAAAUCAAAAGCAUCUACAAACCUGAGAUGCACAAUUCACUAAAAUACGUUUGAGAACAGAGCUAGUAUUCUUUUCCUUCAUGUUCACAAAGCUGCAAAACAUACAAAAACUACAAUUAAACCAUAAUUAACUAUAAUCAACAAAAAAUAAAAUAUUAGCAUUUGUAAGUUUCAGAGAUUCUGAAUUUCUCCUUAUAAUAACAACAAACAAUAGCUUAAUUCGAAAUUCUUGAAUUGCAUAACACCGGUAAAUAAAAAGAUUAUUAAAAUCCCUAAGUAACGUUCGUCUCAAAUUACAUUCACGGAUAAUGUUGCGAGGAUAAUAGAAGGAAAUCAUAGCGAAACGAAUUGAAUCGAAAAUGUGAGAUAUAAAAAUUAAGUGGUUUAUGAAAGGUUACCAUUAAGAAUCGGUGAUGUUCAUUAUGCAACAGAAUCAAUCGCAGAUCACGAUUCUGCGAGCUUUUAUUCGAAUGAAUGGAGAAAGUACACAGUGCAGAGUUCCGCUACCUACCAGUCGUAUUGAUUCUGUUGCGUUGCGUGUUGUAACUAUGUGAUGCAGAAAGCAAUAUAGAGGUGCUAACUGUUUUCUGCACUCCUGAUUUUGCUUUUAUACCCUACCGCGUUUUUUUUUUUUUUUUUUGUCAAGUAGCCUACCGGCUAAAACUCAUACAAAUUAUGGAGGAGUGGGUGUACGGGUUCAAACUCCGGCCCCUACAUAUAAUAUGCAAUAUCCCUACCAACUGAGCUAAGCUCACGGGGAUUUCAUUUUCUUGCUUAAUAGACUCUUUCUCUCUUCACUUCAUUUAAUCUUUUAGAAACAGUUUCGACAAAAAAAAACUUUUAGAAACAACAAAUUUGGGGAAGAUUCUAAUUUGCUUAAAAUAAAUGAAAAAUAUUAUUUAAUGAGAGAUAGAUACAUAAAAAAAAAUAUUAUAUAGUGAGUCCUACCACUACAGGGUUGUGUAUCAAUAUUGAAAUGAAAAUUUAUUGAUAAAAAAAAUAUUAAAAUGAAAAUUCACAAAAAAUAUUAAAAUGAAAAUUCACAGUAAAGAAUUAGAAGAAAUAUAUUGGAGGCAACUAUAAAUCUUACAUAAGGUUUAGUUAUUGUAUCAUUGAUAGAAAUUCUUCAUUUUGGUUUUCUGAUUUGAUUAGGAUGGGGAGAUUGUGUCAGAAGGUUGAUUUUGUCAACAUCGUAAAUACUCAUCUAACGCUUAGGGAGGUUGGUUCAAAUGGUUGUUGGAAGUGGAAUGUUUUAAUGACCAUUGUACCUUUUUUUUAUUGUUCAGUUUGUUGACCAACACCGAUCACGUUACUUAUGAUGACGAGUGACAUGAUAUGUGGAUAUGGAAUGACUCUAAGAUAGGGGUUUGUGCUUGUAAAUUUGGAUAUGAUUGGUUGUUAGCACACAAUAUAACUUAGAACACAACAAAUGAUUAGAACUAGGUUUGGAGAAUUAAGGCGUUUGCAACACUUUGUUUGAUUUUGCCUCCAUGGAGCAAUCCUCCAAUGAUGGUCAAGGUGAUGUGCUAUUUGCUGAGCUUUUUACAAUCUAUCAUGGUAUCGCUCUUCUGCUCCAACAUGGGCCUUCGGGAGCUUGGUUCUGCCUCCACGGAGCAAUCCUCCAAUGAUGGUCAAGGUGAUGUGCUAUUUGCUGAGCUUUUUACAAUCUAUCAUGAUAUUGCUCUUCUGCUCCAACAUGGGCCUUCAGGAGCUUGGUUCUGCCUCCACGAAGCAAAGUCAAGGUGAUGUGCUAUUUGCUGAGCUUUUUACAAUCUAUCAUGGCAUCGCUCUUCUGCUCCAACAUGGGCCUUCAGGAGCAAUCAUGAAUCAGAUAGCUUUGAGGCUAUUCGGUCGUUGACUCCAAGAAAUGAGUUAGAGUUUCAUGCAUGCAAUUUGUUACUACUGAAUAUUACCAGUUUGAUCGACCGUGUCCCAGAUUUGGUCUUACGUCAUAUAUUUCGAGAAGUUAAUCAUAGUGUUGAUUGGUUAACAAAAUAUGAAUUCUUCCGCUAUGAAUUGUCCUCCCCGUCAUUUGACCUCUUAGAUCAGCGGAUGACCUGGACACCUAGAGUGCCUUUUUAUGUUCUUUUUCUUUUGUUUUGUUUUGUUUUAGUUCAACAAAAAAGAGUAACAUAUAAUUUGAUUUAGAUUCGUUUUUCUUAAGAAAUUGAUUUGGUCUUAUUAAGUGCAGUUUGGAUUAGAUGAAAUAAAUGAUGAUAUUUAUUUAACAAUCAUAAUUACAUAAUUAUGUCAUGUGAUUAAUAAAUGAUGAUAUUUUUUUACCAAUCAUAAUUGCAUAUUUAUAUCAUGUCAAUUGCAUCUUUACCAAACAUAUUUUUUUACUGCUACUAUAAGCCAAACGAUUUCAACAUAUUUUUUGAGGCCAAAGGAUAUUGACAUAGAAGUAAGUGUGUAUACAAUAAAUAUUGAGUUGUAAAAAAAUAUGUUGAGUUGUAAUUGGUUUGUAGUGAAAAAUAUUUUACCCGGCCGGCCACUCAUCAAAAUUCAUUUUGUCUUUGGUUCAUAUCUUAUCUUAUAAAAAUAAAUGUUUUGGUUUUUAUCCUUUCCAACCUUUUUGGGUUAAAUGUGAGCAUUGCUAUUAGUAUAUUUCUACUCAUCUCUCACAAUGUUUAUAUUUAUAAGUGAUCUCUUAUCAUAGAAAGUCCACACUCCCUUCUAAAACUCAUUUUGGCAUAUAAUUUAUUAAUUUCCCUUUUUUUUUUCUCCUUGAAAAGAAGGCGUGUUAGAAUGUCAUCCACCAAAGCCACCACGAGAGAGUUGCAAUUGAGUAUUAGUGCAUGCACCUAUAAACUCCAUGCUUGAUUUACUUGAUUCAGAUUCGAGCUUCAUCUGUCCUUCACCAUUCACCAAAGUCAUCAAAUAUUGUAUGUAAUUUCAGUGAAACUUCCUUUGGCCAUGCAGUUUCGAAUAGCAUAGGAAUCAUUUUGUACGGUGAGAUACGAUAAAUUUUUAAAGUUAAAAUUUCAUCGAUAAACCUCUAUACUGAUCCAAAAUCACAAAGAAAAAACGAUGAGUAUUUUAUAUAAUAUUAAUAAGCAUUCAAACUCUAUUUAACCAUGACGGUCUUCGAUGUUAUUUAGGAUGAUUAAUCUGAAUAAGAAGCUUAUGUUUAAGGUUUUAGUAGUCCAAUUUUGUCCUUUGUUUACUAAACAAGAAGGCUAAAAAAAACUAAAAUGGUACUUUUACUCAUGGCCGGCCAAAAGGCGAAGUAAUCCAAAAAAAGGGCUUUAGAUUUCAAAAGAGGAAUACAUACUCAUAUUUCCAUUUGUAUUAAUACCUCCUUGUCAUUUUUUAUCUGUUUUGUUUCAUGAGCUCAAUCUACAAUUUACUCUUGGUUAGAAUUUGAUUGGAUUUAGCACUUGGUCUUAAUUUUAUAGUCUAUUUUAUUUGAACUCUAUUGGUUGUUGUCUUCUUGAUUUAUUUUUUGAUGUAGAUUGUCUUCUUGAUUUAUAGUUGCAAGACUUGAUUUUUUAUUUUAAGAGAUAUAAAUGUCAACUCAAAAGUUUAAAUCAAAUUACUAUAUAAAAUGCAUCAUUGUGAUGCUUGCUUUAGGCCUUAUUUAAUGAUGGGUUGCCUUGCUUUUACUAGAUUUAAAAAAUAGAAUCGACACAAUGACAUAUAUAGUUGAUUGAUAAUAUUGAACUUACUUAAAAGAUAAAUCAAGUUGCUAUUAUUUAUGUUUCUAUUUUUUUUUAUCCAAAACGAAUUUAUGUUUAUAUGUUAAAUUAGGUCAAACUUACUAAAACUUACUUAAUAUAUCUUAGUUUAUUAUACCUUUUCAAAAAAUGAAUUAACUUUUUUUUUUUUGUCACUAGUCUUUAUUUUUAACCUAUGCUGUAUUUACAUGAAUCUCAUAUGUAUGUGUAUGUACGUGUACUUUAAUAGGACAAAUCCUGAAUGUUAGGACUCUUUCGAUUUACAGAAUACAAAGUACUCUGUUUAGUUGAAAUUAGGUAAAGAAAAUUGUGAAGAGUGGUGUCGUGUUAACCGUUAAGGAAAGGAUGAAUAAAACAGUAAAUUGUUAAACUUGAUAGCAAAAACUCGUGAAUUCAAGAUCUUGAUAGAUCUCUCUCAAAAAUAAAAGAAGAGAGGCAAUAAACAAACAACAUGACAUGAGAUGUAAUAAACAAACAAAUAACAUGACGUUAACGUUUGGAAACAUACAAAAGGUAUAUGCCAAACAAUAAGCAAAUAAAUAUAAUUAAAAUGAAAAAUACUAACACGAGAGUGUUGGUUGGAUAAAGAACCAACUAUACUACUAAAAGUCUAAAAGUAUCUUGAAAUUUAUGUAGUUAAUUAGACUUUUUCAAAAAUAUAAAAAUAAAAAAUAAGAAAAAAGAUAUUUUUUUUUCAAUACAGAGCACUCGUUGAGGAAUUUAAUAUAGCAAAACUAUCUUAAAAUGUGUGUAAUCAAUAUUUUUAUUUUAAAAAUAUAAUAAAUGAGGUUUUUUUUUUCAGUACAAAAACUAUUUAUUUUUGUUUUUUUAACAAGUGUCUCAAGGACGAACAUGCCUCAAUAAAAAUUAACAUCGAACCAAAGAUGCACAAUUUGUAUUUUAGACGUUAAAAAAAGAAGAAACAAAAUUUAGAUAAAAAAGAAUAAAAAAGUUUAUUUUCAUUUUUUUUGCCAAAUAAUUGUUUGUAUUUUGUUUUUGGUUGGAAAGCUAAAUACAAAGAAAACAACAAAAAGAAAGGAACAACUAAGCUCUUGUGGAUCAUCAAGUUCUGAUAAAGUCUCAUAAAGAAGGUUUAAGAUGCAAGUUGGUCGGGAGGGGUGAACUAAGAUAUCAAUGUUAGAAGAAGUUCCUAACUUAACAAGGAAGUUUGUACAUCUAUGUCAAUGUUGAUGAAGGAGAUCGUUGAUGUCUUGGAUCAAGAUGACAUACUUGUGAAACUUUGACGCUUGAACCUAGAAGAUAUCAACACGAUAGAGAUUUGUGUAACAAGUAAUAUUAUGGUUAUUCAAUUGUUUAGCCAACAAAAGCCCUUGAUGUAUUGCAUGAAGCACGACAUGAAAAAUAACAGAGGAUCCCAACAAGUAGCCCUGAGAAACUUGAGAUCCACGUCUCUCGGAAGGAUGACGAAACAUAUACAAUAUCUUUUGAGUAGUGCUAGCAACAAUAAUCUCUUUUUUAUUGGUUUAAAUCAAUGUGGUUCUAUACUGGAAAUAGAACUUACAUAACUGGGGGGACAUACAAUGAUUUUGUCAAAUAAGAGAGUGAAUGUUAAAAAGAGUGUUCAAAAUAAAGUGUUGCUAACAUCUUCCAUAUCUUUUUUUAAUAACAAAACAUAUACUGUAUAUGUUAAACUAUACUUUUACUAUAAUACUCAGACAUGUAAGAUACUAAUUUCUCAAGUACUAACUAAAAUCUAGUUGAGAUUGUCUGGUAAAUACAACUCAAUUUUUUGGGUUACUAUACACAAGGAAGGUUUUCACGUUCCAAUUAAAUUUUCUUCAUAUUUAAGAAUCAAAGAUUGAACUUCCAAUCAUUUUUUUAAAAGGUCUAACUCUUUUACCACUUGAACAAAUCUAUCGUUAAUUAGAUACAACUUAUAUAAUAAAUUACUACAAAGAUAUUUAUAUGCAAAGGCAAUUUCACACACUUAGUUAGUGUGUGUGAGUUUUACUGCUAUUUUUUUGAAAUAUAAAAUAAAAACUAAGACCCAAUUAUUCAUCAUCUACGUAGCUGUGUGUCAGAUUGUAAUGGUGGUUAAAAAAUUUAGUUAGGUAUUUGUUUAAAGUUUUUUAAUAUUUACCAUUUAUGAAAUCCUUAACAUAUAUUUAAAGGUACAAAUUAGCAUGACCCUUUUAAUAAAAAUCUCAUAAAUAAAUGUGUUUUAAAUUAGCCUAUAAAAAUAUUUUAUUUUACCAUAUGUGCUUAGGGUUGGUAACCUUGUGGUUUGAUGCACUUGAUAAGAAUGGGCAAGGUCUGGCUUUUAAUUCUUAUCAAUGGUGGGAUUCUCCCCCUUCUUUUGUGUCACCUCUGUUGCAUAAAGAUUGUUUAAGUCCUUCUGCUUGAGCCUUAUGACUUGAUUUGUACUCUUUUGCUAUUUGAUAAAAAAAAAUAUAAAUGUUUUAUAUUUAAAUACUCAUUUGUAUCAUAUCUAUGGAUUACUUACUAUAAGAUAUUGCUAAUAUUUUUCUUUUUUGACAAAAUAUUGGUUAAAGUUAUUUUGAAGAGUUUUGAAAGUAAAAAAGAAAUAAAAAAGACUAGCUACUCAUUUUUUUUGAGAAAUGACUAGCUACUCAUAAAUUUAUCAGAAGUUAUUCUUAUAAUUUUUUACGUAUACUUUACAAAUAUUUGCUACUCUCUUCAGUCCCAUUUUAUAAAUAUCUUUGACCUUUUUUCACAUAUAUAUUAGAAAGUGUGAUUAGUGAAUUUGAUGUAUCCACUUUUUUUUUUUGAGGAAAUGUAUCCACUUUAUAAGUGGGUCUUUCUUAAAAUAUCGAUUGUAUAUUAAUAUCUAACUUUAAUUUCUCAUAUUCUAAAAUAAAUUAGUAGUAUUACGAGAAAAAACUAACAAAUCCGCUUAGUGAAUUGUAUAAGUGUUUAUAUUUAGAGACAAAUUUUUUUCUCAUUCAAAUAAUGGAGUUUAUAAUUAGUUAUGGAGGGAGUAGUAUAUAUUAUAAGAGAUUGAUGGUUAUUCUUUUAACAAAGGCAAAAGUAGUUUAUUUCAAUAAGAAUUAAUGAGUACAUAUUAUAAGGAACAUCAUAGAAAAUAUGGGACAAUACUAUAAACUAUGAGAAGGCAAGCAACAUAAUGCUCUAACAAUACGAUAAACUAAUUUAUUUGUUACUCUAGACAAAUCCUACAACAUAGUUAUGAGGAGAUUCACCACGGGAUAUAAUGUCACAUUAAGAGAGAUAAGCUGAAAUAACUUUUUUAAAUAACCAGAAAGUAAAUGUUUAUUUAUAAAUUAAACUUAAUCACAAACUACAUGUUUAUUCAUACAGUUUCGGGAAGAAUUCAAUUAUUAGACUACAAAGUAUAUUAUUAAUCUUAUUCUACCCAAACUAAUGGUAAAUUAAUAAUGGAACGCGAAUACAUCAUAUUCCACAACAGCAUUUCCAGUGGCAAAACUCACAGAGUAAAACUUGGCUUGAGCAUAACCACGAACAAAUCUGAAAGCCCCAGUUCCACCAACAAUAGGCAUUUCUCUAAUAGGUUCACUCACGAUCAUGUUCCUAGCCAAUAUACUAAGUGUGCUUCCAUUAAAUUCUCCCUCUGAGAACGCCCAAGUCAUAACCAUCAUUAGUCCCAUCUCAUCUUGUGAUAUUACAGCGUAAAUUCCUUGAGCUUUACCCACGAGUUUCGAGUCAAGUUCAGGCCCAAUCGUCAACGGAUCAUCCAUGGCCACCACUGUCCCGAAUGGAAGAGAGUUUUCAGCCUUGCCGUUGGGCUCGGCUACUAUCACUGUGCUUGCUUUGGGGCCUUCCAUAACGUCGUGGAAAUAGAAGUGAAGGUGGGUGAAUUUCUCUUCUUGAAAACCCAACAAAGCUGGAGAUAAGCUUUUGUAGUAAUUGGUGGCUGUAGCCAGGGAUAUGAAGAAGGAAAUAAGGAGAGUUAUGGGGGAAGAUAAUAUUGAUGAGGAUUUUGCCAUGGUGGAUUUGAAUGAACUAAGAGGAAAAUUUCCUCAUCCGACGAGUGGCCCUCAAUAAAUUUAUAUGAUCGAUGUCUAUAUAUUUUAUUUAUUUAUAAAACUUAAGGCUAUUUCCAUUUGUUUGUCCACUAGUAAUGUUUGUGCAAAUAGUAUUUGAGUGACGUUGAUUUUAUUUAUUUAUUUUAUAGUAGAUGAUUUCAUUGCUAAACCUCAUGUUUCCGGUUGAAAAACUGAUUGACGUUACAGUUACGUGUAAAACUAAAAUAAUAGGAAAUUUUUGUGCAAACAACAAAAGUCUCUAAAUCUCUAAAAAAAAAACAAAAGUCUCUAAAGAUUUCAACAACAAACAAGUCACUCACACAUAUUUAGUGUUAAGAAAAAUUAUGGGUUCGAAUUUAUGUUUCAUCAUAUCAAAUUUUUUACUAUGUUUUUGAUAAAUGUCUUUUGUUGUCAAGAAGUUAUAAUUUUUUUUACUUCUUAAGUACAUAUUUAUUUUUUUACAAUAAAGUAUUUGGUGACAUUUUUUUACAAGAUUAAUGCUAAAAAAUGGAAGAAAAGUAAUUAAACUAUAAACGAGUCAAAUAAAUCAAACCUAAAUAGUUUAGUUGGUAGCUACAAGAGAUAGUAAGCAUAACUUAGUUGAUAGCUACAAGAGAUAUUAUGUGUCGGGGUCGGGGUUCGAACUCCGGAUUCCCCACUUCUCCACAAAUAAUGUGUUUGAAUCUAGCCACUAGGCUAUCUAACAAAAAAAAAAUCAAACCUAAAUUGGAUUACUUAGUUAGAUUUAGACAAUUCAUACUUUUAGCUAAAUUCGUUUUUUUUUUUUUUAUGGUGCUCGGGAUUUGAACAUCGGAUCUUGCAUAUAUUAUGCAUUGUUCCUAUCAACUGAGCUAAACUCGAUGAUUAGAUAAAUUUGUUUAAUUAAAUAAAUGAAUUUCAAACCGCAAAGAGCCAAACUUAAAUAAAUUUGAAGUACACUGCCAGAUAUGUGGCGGCUCAUACUUCUUUCCGGUGUGAAAAUAUGUUUAAAAGGUGUAUAAUGUGUAAAGAACUUUUUUCCGUCAUUCAAACUCAAUGCGUACGAAUGCUGGAAAUUUUGUACAUAGAAGAUGACUUUUCUUUUUUACUAAACACACGAGAGGACUUAAAUUUCAGUGUGACGAGGUGUGUAGACUUACCAAUACCAAUCAGAAGACAACUGAUUUUGAAGAUUGCACCAUUCAACAUUUUGCAAAGCCGGUGGAGCCUCUUAUUGGUAAGCUUGUAGUUGGUACGCUUGAAACAUGACCAAACUCAAAGGAGAGAAAGAAAAUAAACAAAAAUUAGACUAUUAUUAAAACAGAAGAGUAGGGUAUCACAUCAGACAAACAAUAUAACAUUAUGUGGCUUAACUAAUGUUUUAGUUUUAAACUCGUGUUUAAGCAUGUAAAGUUCAAAUCUUUCAAAGGGAGUUUAGCCAGCCAAUUAAAUUCAUAAAACUCAAAGUAUUAGUAUUUGUGGUAAUACUCAAAAAAAUAUACUCAAUUUACACAACAAAUACUAUUAUUACAUACCUUGCAAACUUGCAUAGAAAAGACCAACAAACUGUUAACAUACUAUAACUAGGGCUCCAUCUCCGGUACGCAAGUGACAUGGGUCACAUACCGUCCGCGAGUAGCAAUUUUUUUCUUUUACCUGCAUGUGUAGGUUUUCUACAGUAUAUAACCUGUUGCAGUAGGUUUAUUUAUUUCAGAAAUAAUUAUUUGAAAGUUAUGUUACAAUAUAAAUAUAAGGGCAAUUUCGGUAAUGUGAUUUUGGAAAAUUCUGGUCUUGUGAUUUUGGACACCAACUACUCCCCAUCUAGAACAAAUCCCUCCCUUCUUCCCAUUUCACAACUUGUGAUCUUGCCGUAAGUUUGCCGAGCCGCCUCCAGCAUUCCGAAAACUCACAGUUUUAAGCAUAUAAAUAUAUUAAAAUCCUAAAGCAAUCAACUUCUAAAUUGAUUCAGUUUUACCCAUAACUCAUUUUUUGUUUUACAAUUUUUGGUGUGAAUAAUUGUUUUUCAAAUUGAUAUGGGAUUUUGUUAUUAAAUGUUGAAUCGAAACUCAUGAAAUUACUGUGUAAAACGUUGAUACUAUAUGUUUAAUCGCCUUUUCUUUUUCUUUCAAGAACCUUAAAAUAAUCAUCUUUUAUUGGUUUGUGGAUAUGCAAAAGAAAUAUGUGAUUUCUUCUUGCCUUUCAAUUUCGAUCAAAACAACGUAAAAAUCGUUGAAUUUUAUUGCAUGGCAAGGGAGAUCCUAUCGGGUCAAUUCGCGGAUCAAUAAAAUACAUUGCCACCUGCACCACUGAUCCAAUUAUGAUAUAAAUGGAUUUUUAUUCUAUUUAAUCCCAAUUACCAGUUUAGAAUUUAAUAAUUUAAUUCAUUUUAUUAUGGGUUUUUAUGGACCAAGCCUUACAUAGACACAUAAGUCUAAAUAAUUUUUUUACAAACACACUUACAUCUAUAUAUACAUCGGUACAAACAAGAAUAAAUUUAUUGAAAUAAACUAUGAUAAAGAAAUAAAACAAAAGGAACCUAGAUUUUUUAUUUUUUUUUUGAAUAAUGGAACUUAAAUUUAUAGUUAAAGUUUGAAUUGGAAUAUGAUGCUAAAAGAUAAAUAAAAAGAAGUAACGAAUAAUUUAAGCAAUUAUAAAAAUUAGGUUUUAAAAGAUAAGAUAUAACAAAAAUAAAACAAGAAUAUAUAAUAUAUGUGGUUUGUUGAGAUAUUUAUGCAAAAUUAAAUCUUCAAAAAUCAAAAAAUAUACAAAAAUAACAAAAAUAUGAAAACUUGUUAUAUUAAAAUGUAGCAUUAGAAGUGGUUGAUAUAUAUAUAUAUAUAUAUCAACGUAUAUGUAAGAGAGAUAAUAGAAUUAGUGUUUGGCAAACCUAAAAGAAGGAAAAAGGUUAGAUGAAAAGAAGGUUUAAACAAAAUCUGGGGUUUCCGUUUGUGCUUAAAAUAUGUGAAUAUCUGAUUGACAAAAAUCAUUUAUUUAUAGUUAACAUUUGCAUUAGAAUAUACUACUAAAAGAUAACAUAAUAAGUAAUCGAAUCUUUGUUGAAAUAUUUUUGCCAAAUGAGAAUGAAUGUGGAAGUGACAUGUGGCAUAAAAAACCUUACUUAUAUACCAUUGAUUAUUGAUAUUGAUAUUAUUGAUUGAUUGAUUAUACUUUUUAACAACUUUUUCAGUGAUAAAGAACGUUGUUGGUGUCAUUAAAAAAAAUAAGAAUUUAGAUUGUAUUUUUUUGUUUUUGUUUUUGAAGGAAGAUUAUAUUUUUUUUGUUAUAUUGUUUGUUUCAUUGAAAUAAAUAACCAUGGUUAGUUUGAUUUGUUAUAAUUUAAAAACAAAAAUAAUUUAAAUACUAUAUUUACUCAAUGACGUUUAUUUUGUGUAAUAUGCAAGAAAUUUGUAUCAUCAUAUAAAGGAUUUGUUAAAUACUUGAAUAUGAGAAAUAAUUUAAGGAAGCUCAAAUAAUAACAUAAAUAAUAUCAAAAUAGUUGGUUUUUUCUUUUUCAAUUACACUCAAUAACAAAUUUCGUUAUACGAAUACCAUAUUUUUUGUGUCAUUAAAAAAGAUAAGAAUUUAUAUUAUAUGAUAUUAUUAUAUAAUUUGUUGCAUUGUUGGUGUCAAUGAAAAAAAUAUGUUUAUUUUUUUUUUAAUAAGAAAAAGAUAUGUAUAGUUUGUUACAAUAUAAAGGUGCAAAAUAUAAGUAUAAUUUUUUUAGGCAUCUAUACUUGUACUUUUAAUUGAAAUCAAAAUAUUAUAAAAAUAAUUAUAUGCAUUAUGCAACGCUAAAAAUAAAUUAUACGCAUUAGCGUAACAAAAAAACAGACAGACAAACAUAAAUUAUUAUUCUAACCGCUAAUGUGUGUGUAUAUGUUUGCGAGGUUGAAGAAAAGAAAUAAAAAUAUUUAUGAGGUUGUGAUGAUUAAAUGAUAUUAAAAUUAAAUAUAUAAGUGAUAAAAAGAUAACAAAAUUCCUUAAAAAAAUAUAAUAAAAUUAAAUGAACCCUCUUUCAAAAAAAUAAUUAUAUGGACCGGUUCAAAAAAAUUAAAUUAAAUUAAAUUAAUUGGAAGAAAAAAGCAAAUUAAAAUAUAAUAUUAAAAAAUAAAAGAAAAGGUUGCCAGCAAGAGUUGAAGAGAGGUGCUUGUGAAAUAAAUUGCAGAGAAGUAGUUUUUUGAAGUAGCAUCCAACAAGUUUUGAUCAAAGCUUAUUCCAUUCAAUUUUAUGCAUUCGAACAAAAGUAUUUUUUUUAAGGUACUUUAUUGAUAUUGUGUUUGGCCUAACUUCUCCUUAAAAAUGCAGAAAAAUUGGAAAAAGCCGGACCAAACGGCACAUAAAUAACGUAAUCUCAUUUUAGUUAUGAAUUGAAUUUUAACUAUUAAAAAAAACUAUAAAAAAAAAAAAAAAACUUAAUUUCACUUUAGUCAUAUUUUUGGCGGCUCAAUUUUGCUUUCCUUCUACUCCAAUAAUCAAAUUUUCCCCCCUCCUUGUUUUGACCCCUUUUUGUCCAAAGCAUCCUUUACAGUAUUUAACUACAAGUACCAUGACAUUUUCAAAAAAAUCAAUUAAAGUUAAAAUACAAACCUUUUGUCAGGUCAUAAUAUCAUUAAAUCUCAACCAUUCACUUCAAUCCAUAUAUAUCCAAUGGCUACAAUCCCUUAAGCUGGCAAAAAAGUCAAAAAAACCAGCUCAAGUACGGUACGUGACCCAUGUCACUCGCGUAUCGGAGAUGGACCCUAUAACUAGUAUUAUUUUUGUAACAAAAUAUAUGAUUUUACGGACCAAUUUAAGGAAAUUAAUAAAAUUGAUACCUUAAAUUUAUUCAUAGUUGUAUUGUUGAAGAAAAAUAAAGAGAUAAAUUUAUCUUUAUUUUUUAGGAAAUAAAUAAAUUUAUCUUAUCUGUCGUAUUAUAUAUGGUUAGUUAUAAAAAAAAAUGGUUAAAUAUGUUUUUGACCUUAUAACUAUACCAACUUUUUGUUUUAGUCCCUUUUAAAAAAAAAUAGCCUUUUAGUCCCACAAAAGUUUUUUAACUUCACAUUUGGUCUCUCUUUUUAAGUAAACUCAUAUAUGUAGAAUUCAUAUUUUUGAAUAAGUAUUUGCAGAAAAUUUUAUAAUAUUAUAAAAAUCUCUCCAAAAAUAAAAAUAGAAUUUUUUAACAAAAUAUAAAUUAAAUAUGAAUUUUUAUAUUCGUGGCGGUUAAAAAUUCAUAUUUAAUUCAUAUUUUGUUAAAAAAAAAUCUAAUUCUUAUAGGAAAGAUUUUUAUAAUAUUCUGCACAAUUUCAUUAAAAAAUACAAAGGCUACACAUGAGUUGUCUUAAAAUAGAGACUAAAAGUGGUGAUUGAAAAUUUUAUAAGACUAAAAGUCGAAAGAAAAAAUUAGAGGACUAAAAUAAAAUGUUGGUAUAUUUAUAGGGACCAAACACUUAUUUAAGCCUAAAAAAUUAUGUAAAAAUAAUUAGACAUAUUUUAAUAAAAAAUUAUCAAACAGUAGAAAAUUUGAGGGAUUCAUAAAAAAUAGAAAAUAUGGUUUAGAAUUAGAUGUUAAUGAAAUGUGAAUAAAAAAUAGAGAAAAAUAUGAAUUUAAAUUUUGAUUAUAUUAAAAUAGAUCUAUAAUACUAUUUUUUAGAGUGCGUUAGAUUUUCUUUUUGCAAAUAAAAAAAGCUAUCAAGGAAGAAAUUGUAGAUUUUAACAUAAGAAAGAAGGGGAUGUAAUUCAACCUUCUUGCAUGAAAAGGGGAGUGAAAUAUAUUAUAAUAUGCUUGACAUAAAAGAGAAAUAAAAUGUAUAUAUUUUAACAUAAGAGAGAAGAAUAAUGUAGUUCAAACAACUUUCAAGAGAGGAGAUUAUAAUUUACACUAAUAAAUAUUAUAUUAGAUUUUGAAAAUUCUCGCCAUAAAGUUUUGACGAAAAAUCCUUGUAUCCUUAGGCAAACUAAGAAAGUAACCAAAAUUAUAUCUUAUGUUUUGUUUUGUACUAGUGUAACGCCCCGUGUCAAGCACGGGAUACAUUUUAUUUAAAUUUUUUUAAUAUGAUUUAAAUUUUAACAGAUUCUUUAAAUAUUAUUGUUUUUGUUUCUUUUCAAUCAUAAUUUUGGCGUUAUGUGGUAUUUUAUCUUCGUAUUUAAAAUUGAACAAUAAAUAAUCAUUUAUUGAGAUCAAAAAGUUAAAUUUUUAGAUGACUAUUUUUGUGAGAGUGAUAAAAUAAUCAACAAAAGUACAAUUAAAUCCAAAAGAUUAAAACACUAUAAAUAAUUAAUAUAUUUCUAAAAAAUUAACUAAUUAGUAAGAGUUUGUAUAAGCUUUGGUUUGUCAGUCAUUCAAUAUAUCAAAUGGAUAUGAUUACCUAUGUUUUAAUUUUUCACUCUUAAUAAAAAUAUUAAUUUUUUACUUAAUCACAAUGAUCUCUAUGAUCGCAAUUAUAAAUAAAAAAAACCUAAAUUCAAAAUUUUAGUUACAUCUAUUAUUUUUAUUGGUUUCAUAAAUAAUAUUCAUUGACAUUAUUUUUUUAAUUUAUCAAAAUAAGCACAUUUUUGAAUAAAAUUUACCUCAUAAAUAUAUGUAUAUUUUGUACUUCAUUAAAAAAAAUGAAUUUUUAUGUUAAAUUUUGAAUAUAAAAAAAGCAUUAACAAAUCAUGUUUGGUUUUAUAUUUGUGAACAAAAAAUAAGUUUAAAACACAAAAACAAUAUUUUUAAAAUAAUAGGUUAUCGCUAAUUAUUCACACUUAGUGAAACUUAAUUUUUGUAUUUACUUUAGAAUUUGUGUAAAGUUUAAGACAUAAGUAAAUUGAAAAUUGAAAAUAUGGAAACUUUUUUUUUUUUUAUUGAAGUGUCAAUACAUGCAACAAAAACGCUUUGUUUAAUUGAAAAUUGAAAUUCCCAAGACAAUAAAAGAGGUGCCCUACAUCACCAUACAAAAUAACAUUAUACCAAAAGGUGUGCAAACUUUACCAAAAUAGACCUGUAAAAAAAAAAAAAAAAAAGCUUAUUAACAUUCUUCAACUCCUCAAUAGUGGUCCUAGGAGUAAGUAAGAGAAACUCCUCAUGUACAGAUAUGCAAGAUGAAUUUGGUAACUGGAUCAAUCCCGAUGCAGGAGAAUUUGUAUUUGCACUAAGAAAGCUAUAAUAAAAAGUAUCAAUCAAUAAUAUUAUAACUUAAAGAAAAAAAAUGUUAUAUUAAAAAAUAUAUAUAUACCUUUUCCUUAGUUCCUUUGUUUCACCAAUUUCAGGAUUGAAUGUGAUUCUAGUGGAAGAAAAUGCAUUUUGCAAUGCUGGUUUUCCUAUCAUUAAGAUUCAAAAGUAUAUGAAUCAAGUAUAUAUAUUCGUAUAAACAAACAAUCACAAUUGCUAGUCAUAAAUUAUUACCUUGAAACAAUUUAACUUUUGUCAACAUAAUGGCUACAACAACAUUUUGAGAUUCACCGGAAGAUAGGAAAGAGUUCAGCUCUUCAACAUACUCUCCAAAAAGAGUACAUUUAAAACGGUACGUACCUAUUUAAAAUUGUCAAAGAUUAUACAAAUAUUAAUAAAAAUAUUAUAAUACACCGUCUUGAAAAAUUACAAUUACAAAAAAAAAAAAAAUCAAACCUACCCAUUUGAAUCCAAUUCAAUGACAUUCAUUUUAGUUUUUACACCAUCUCUUUCGUACUCUUUUUCAACUCCAACUCCAAUCAUGACUCCAAUUACAUCUGCAUAUAUAACACACAUUAAAAUAUCGAUCAAAUUACUAUUUAUUAUUAAAAGAAUAUAACGUACAAUUGAAUCAUAUUAAACAAAACAUUUUAUUAAUUCAAUAUAUAAAUUAUUGUGUUAUUUUUGUAAGCAAAAAUAAUAUUUAAAAUAAUCUACAUGAAGAAAAUUAUAGUCACUUACCAACUAAGUAGUUGUUGUCGUAAGAUUCAUUGAAAACAUCAGGUGCAGGUGUAAACGAAUACACGUUUGUUGGGACCAAAACAGUUUUAGAUAGUUUGACUUUUGUGUUGAUUGUGAAAUUCAGUUUGUAUUCGUUGCGUGAUGGUCGAUACGAACCAAUGUUGCUAGCAACAUUAAAUGAGGAAAUCGUGAACACCAUUCUCUCUUGGAGUUGAUUCUUGAACUUGUAGAUCAAUGUUCUUCGUAUAGACGCACCAAUUCGAUCACCCUAGAUAAAAAAGAUGAGAACACUAUACUUUAAACAAAAAAAUACUAAAAAAACAAAAAAGAAAAACGAUAUGAAAAAGGUACCUUUCGAUCAAUUAGAACCAACUCCAUGGAAAAUGGUAGUUUUUUAUUUUUGUAGUCUUGACCAAACCAAGCACGAACAACCCUCACAACCAAUGUCCACGAUUGUUUUCUUGGCGAAACAUUAGAGAUGAAGUUGUGUUUCGUUGACAUUUUCCUUUGCAAUAGAAAAAUUACAGAAAUAGUUUAGAAUAUAGAUAUCAGAGCACCAAAGAACAGAAAACGAAGAACUAUAUUUUGUGAUUGUUGUGUACUCAUACCCAAAAUCUCUACUAUUUAUAUAGAAAAAUAGUACCAUAACGGUUAAUAUAAAUUAAUUAUCAAUUUGAUCGUUCUAAAAUUAAUAUUAUCAACAUCUUUAAUAUUAUAAAACGUGCAUUAAACAAUUAAAUUAUAUUUCAUGUAACGUACAAAAAAUUAACUUCAUAACAUUUGAAAUUUAAUUUAAUAUUUAAUAAUAUCUUAUAAAUAAUUAUGUAAUAUAGUUUUGUAACAAACAAAUUAAUUAUAUAAUCUUAAAAACUAAUUAAUACAAUUAAUUUUUUAAUUAGUAGGUUAAUGCCUUAGUGUAACGUCCCAAAAUUCAAAAUAUAAUUUAUUCAAUUUAUUUAUUAUAAUUUUGUAACCAACCAAAUUUUGAAUGUUACAUAUAAAUGUUAAUUGAAUACUAAUUAGAUUAAUAAUUAUUUGAUUUGUAACGUUCAAAUUUUUAUUGUAAAAUAUAAAUUUUAAUCGAAACAGUAAUUAUAUUAAUCAUUAUCUGAUUGUAACCAACUAUUUACUUUAUGUACAAUUUAAUGUUAAAUAAAAAACGGUUUUUAAUAAUAAUUAAAAUUAUUAAGCUGGUAUUAAAAAUUAGGAGGAAUUUUAGGAACAUAUGCCAAGUAGGCUUUUGAUGAGGUGGACAUCCUUAGAGGAAAGGAAUUUGAAAUAGGCUAUUUCUAAGAACUCUAAAUUGUUAGUAUAAAGAUGUUCUUUUAGGGGUUAUGUUAUGUUAUUGACACGUAUGCAUGUGGAAGUUAUUGUCAACCUAGACCCUACAUGUGUGAUAAUUACAUUAUGUUUUUUUUUUUUGAGAGAAAUAAUUACAUUAUGCUAAAACACAAACAUAAGACGUAUCCACCCAUUUUGGCAUCACAUCAUAGUUAUCUGGACUUUUCUGAACUUAUUGAUACAUAAAAUUUCCAUCAAAUUACAUUUUUCGUUAUCAUCGAAAAUGUUAAAUUGGAACUUAAUAAUUUUCAUCAAGGCACAUUACAACUGCCAUAUUUUGUCAUAUUUUUGUCAUAUAAUUAAAUCAUUACACACUUGUUGUCUGUUUAUCUGUCUUAACAUGCUUGUCUUACAAAAUUAAAAUUAAAAUUUAUCACUCAACACAAUGCUAAAAAACUAUUGAAUUUGAAAAUGAAUGUGGUAUACAUUUGUUUUAUUUCACCUAUUCGUACUAUAGGUGAGAGUGUAACAUGAACACAAUAAUGAUUUAAUAAAUAAUAAAUCAAAAAAUAAACUCUAGUUUAGUAGUAAUACACCUAGCUAAUAAUGGAAUACGAAUACAUCAUACUCCACAAUGGCAUCUCCUUUAGUGUAAUCAACGGAAUAAAAUUUAGCUUGAGCAUACCCACGUACAAAACGAAAAGCCCCAGUUCCACCAACAAUGGCCAUUUCUCUAACAGGUUCACUCAUGAUCAUAUUUCUACCCAAUAUGCUAAGUGUGCUUCCAUUGAAAUCUCCAUCAGUGAAUGCCAUGGUCAUCACCAUCAUUAGUCCCAUCUCCUCUUGUGAUAUUGAAGUGUAAAUUCCUUGAGCCUUACCCACAAGUUUCGAGUCACGUUCAGGACCAGCAGUCAAUGGGUCAUCCAUGGCCACAACGGUCCCGAAUGGCAACGCAUUUUUUACCUUGCCAUUGGGCUCAGCUACAAAUACCAUGCUAGGUUUUGGUCCUGACACGAUGUCGUGAAAGUAAAAGUGAAGGUGAGUGAAUUUCUCUUCUUGAAAACCCAACAUUGUUGGGGAUAGGUUUUGAUAGUAAUUAGUGGCAGUGGCAAGGGAUAUUAUAGAGAGGAAAGUAAGGUUCAAAGAAAUUAGAAGAGUUAUGGAGAAUGUUGAGGAUUUUGCCAUGGUUGAUGCGAAUGAACAAAGAAUGUAGUUUUUGUUGUUGAGGAUAAUGAACUAAGAAUGCUUAUUGCUUAUUUCAAUUCGUUGUAUACAUGCCUAUUUAUAAUAGGUGUGGCUGCUUUGUUCAUUUGUAUAUAUUGAUUUGUCUAAAGCUGAAGUUUGUUGACCAAAAACUUUUAGAUAUAUGUCAAAAUAUGGUGGAAAAAUGAUAGACGCCAGAAACAUGUAAAGCGUUGUCAACGAAACAUCCGAGAAAUAUAGUGGAGAAAAAAAUAUAACUCAAUCGUAUUCACUCAGACUAAUGACUUUUUUUUUUUUUUUUAUGGGAAACCAUCAUUUUUGACAUUUUGGCUUCCUAACAUUAGUGGUUGUUAACAUUAUACAUAGAGUUUAAACAAUCUUGCAUAACAAUGUCAUGUCUUCCUUUCAAUAAAAAAUAAAACAAUGUCAUGUCUUCUAAGUCAUGUUUUUUACUUCAUGAAUAUUGUAUUUAAGAGGAUUGAUUUUGCAAUCUAAAAAGGUCUAACGACACAACUUGUUAUUUGUCUGUCUUCUAUUCAUGUUAAUUAAAAACGAGUCUUUUAUUAUGCGGCAACUUGCAUGAGUGGUUGCGACAUCCUUUACUGUGUAUGGACAUCUCUGUAAUUUUUUUUUUUUUUUUUUGCGGCAGCUUGCAUUUGUUUUUGGUUUUGGUGACACCGUAAAAACUCUAGUUGGCCUCCUUUAGCACAUCUUGGAGAGUCACUUUCUAUGUGUUAAUAUAAUCUUAUUUUGACAUGUUAAAAAAAAAAAAAAAAAAGUCAACUAAAUCAAGCCUUCCUAUUAAAGAAAAAAGUGAACCAAAUACCACGCAUUUUUUAUGAGCCAACCGUAAAUAAAUUUUCUAAUUAGUGUUGCAUCAUUUGCACCUCUAGAAGAUAUGAGGUGGCUCAUAUUUUCGUCAUGGUGUGAAAAAGAUGUUUAAAAGGCGUAUAAAGAAUUUUUUUUCCGUCAUUCAAAUUCAAAUGCUGGAAAUUUUAUAAACGGGAGAGGAAUGUUAUUUUAUUCAACAGAGAAGAGAACUUAGCUAGCUUCCAGUGUUAUGGGGUGUGUAGGACUUGACCGAAAAUUUAAUAUUAGUGCCAAGCCUUUGGUUGGAGGCUGCUAUAUAGAUAUGAUUGUGGCCGGUACAUUGGACACGUACAAAACUCAAAGAAUAGAAAUCAAAUUUGAGUAUUAGAUAGACUAUUACUCCAUUAGAAUAGAAGAGUGGGGUAUUAGUGUAUUACAUUAAUAGAUUAUUAUAGUUAAAUAUAAUUUUAGUCUCCAAGACCAAGGCUUAAGAUUUUUAUGUCCCAAACAAAUAUCUUUUUAAUAAUUUUAAAUGUUUUUCUAUUUGUAUCUUUUGUUGUAAAAGAUUUAUUUAGUGUUAAGCUCAUGAGUACAUAACUUUUUAUGGUUUAAUGCUGGUAAGUGUAUUUGUUUGCAUUCAUUUUCUGCAAAUUCAAUACGGAAACUUUUAGUUAUGACGUUAAGGGUUGAGUCAUGAUGUAAUUUUAUUGAGUACGUCAAGGAUUGAAAACAACAAUUUUAAAUUUGUUUUUACAAAAAUAAUAAUAAUAACUGCAGAGAUUGAAUUGAAACAAAAAAUAUUAUAAGAAAUGAAGCCAAAAAAUUUCUAUAAUUGACAGAACUAAAAUCAAAUUUAAAUCCAUUAAGAUUGUUAUAACAUCUAAUCGAGUUGCAUAGAAAAGACCAACAAACUAUUAGUGUGUCGAAUAUGAACCACCCAAAAUGAUCCAAAGGUAAACAUUUUCCAUUAGUAAACAUAAAUCAUAAUAUAUAACAAAAUAUAGAAAAUAAUAUCUUGUUAAAAAUUACUAUAAACUAGGUCCUUACAAACUAUUAAAACAAUUAGGUUUUUUUUUUUUUUUACAGAAUAUUAAGACAUUUAGUUAUAUUUAUUUACAAUUGUAUCAUUAAAAAAUGUUGAACCUAUCUUAUCUAUCAUAUUAUUUAUCAUUUUUUACUACUCAUUUAUUAUUUAUUGUUAGUUAUAAAAGAUAUGUAAAAAAAAUUGUAGGCAUUUAAAAAAUUAUAAUUAAUAGAAUUGAAAAUUUGAAAUGAGUCAAACAAAAAGGACAACAAAUUUUUUAUUUAGCUAUCUUUUACAAAUAUUUUUCUUAAUAGUCCUCUUAAACUUGAAGAUGAACAACAUAACAAUUGAUCAUGCCGGAUCUGGAGAUCUCUAGUUGGUGAUGGUGAAUGCCUUUGAAGGUUGGAUCUUCGUCACUAGCAACCUUCUUCUUCAGAGGAGAGUUUGCAGUUUUCGUACAUACUUCCACAAUGAAGUCAAUAACUGGACAAUGAGCAUACUUGGACCAAUGUCAUGAGUUAAUGGAUUUAGGAUUUUAGGGUGAUAGAAGAGGUUUAGGGUUUUGCCCUUGAAUUGUUAACUGGACAAUUGUCCUCGAGGGACACAUAUAAACAUAUUAAAAGGCCAUCAUUUUAUUUGUCCUAAACGGUCUAUAUCUUUCCAUGGGGUCUUAAUCCAGUGAUAUUUAGGGUGAUUCCAUGCUAUGGUCCUUACAUAUAAGCUUUGAAGGGUACCUGGAUUCAGGCAUGGAUUGAACAUUGACCCAAUAUGGAACAACAACACAAGACAUCAUGAGUUUUUUUAAUAAUCGGAGAUCAUGAAAUAUAAGGAAACAUGAGAAGGGGAAACAAAACUGUAUUGGAUGCUCAACCCAGUUUUAACGGAAUUCAUGGGGAGGUUGAGGGUACCUCCGUACAUGGGAAUUGGUCAAAAUAUUUCUCCUUCGUUUUUUUUCUUCGUUGAAUUAAAACUAAAAAUAAAUAUAUUGAAUUUAUAAACGAAUGUGGUAUUACAUGUUUAUUUCACCUAUUUGACUUUCACUUUAGGCGAGAGUGUGUAACAGAAGCAUAAUAACAAUUUACUGAAUAACAAAUCAAAAUAUAAACUCUACUUUUAUGAAGCACCUAUAAGGCUAGACCUAACUAAUAAUGGAACAUAAAUAUGUCAUACUCCACAAUGGCAUCUCCUUUAGUGUAAUCAACGGAAUAAAAUUUAGCUUGAGCAUAACCACGUACAAAACGAAAAGCCCCAGUUCCACCAACAAUGGCCAUUUCUCUAACAGGUUCACUCAUGAUCAUAUUUCUACCCAAUAUGCUAAGUGUGCUUCCAUUGAAAUGUCCAUCAGUGAAUGUCAUGGUCAUCACCAUCAUUAGUCCCAUCUCCUCUUGUGAUAUAGAGGUGUAAAUUCCUUGAGCCUUACCCACAAGUUUUGAUUCACGUUCGGGUCCAGCCGUCAAGGGGUCAUCCAUCGCCACAACUGUCCCGAAUGGCAAGGCAUUUUUUACCUUGCCAUUGGGCUCAGCUACAAAUACCAUGCUAGGUUUUGGUCCUGACACGAUGUCGUGAAAGUAAAAAUGAAGGUGAGUGAAUUUCUCUUCUUGAAAACCCAGCAUUGUUGGGGAUAGGCUUUUAUAGUAAUUAGUGGCAGUGGCAAGGGAUAUUAUGGAGACGAAAGUAAGGUUCAAAGAAAUGAGAAUUGUGGAACAUGAUGAGAAUUUUGCCAUGGUUGAUGUGAAUGAACUAAGAAUGCUUUUUGUUGUUGUUGUUGAGGAUCGGAUAAUGAACUUAUAAGAAUGCUAUUACUAUGAAAAAUGUCUCUGAUCCGAUCAGUGGUAUAUUUCAAUUGGUUUGGAUACAUGCCUAUUUAUAUAAUAGGUGUGGCUGCUUCUUUCAUUUGUUUAUAAUAUUAUCUGUCUCAAGCUGAUGUUUCUUGACCAAAAACUUUAGAUAUAUGUCAAAAUACGGUAGAAAAAUGACAGACGCCAGAAACAUGUAAAAUGUUAGUUUUCUUAGCAAACGAAGCAUCCGAGAAAUAUAGUGAAAAAUUUAUAAGCUCAAUCAUAUUUUCUCAAAUUAAUUAUUAUUUUUUAGUAUAAAAUAAUUUGUCGUGUAAUCAAUAUGCUGAAACAAUUCUUCAUUGUUUGUGAGAUUAUGAAUUCGCAACCAUUUUCUGGAAAUCUAUUGGUUUUGUGGACCACCUAUUCUACCAAGGCGAUGACUUAUAAUAUGACUGGUUGCGGUAAGGAACGAUUGGCACCACUAUUUUUCUAUUUCUGGCUGCUUGUUGGUGGUUGUGGCGUGAGAGAAAUAAGUUGUAUUUUGCAAAUGAAUUGGUGUCUUCCUUCACCUUAAGGCACACCACUUUUAAUUAUAUGCUCAGUUGUUAUCGAAGUGUUUCCUUAAACAGGGGCAUGAAUCUGCCACGAGGUCGGUAAAGUGGAAUGUGUCCUAUGUGAAUGGCAUGAUUUUAUAUGUUGAUGGGUGCAGUCUUGGUAACCCCGGUGUCUCCGGGUUUGGCGGUUUGCUUCGUAAUGAUGAUGGUGCUUGGUAUUGCGGAUUUGCAGGUAAGAUUGGGUUUUCCAAUAUCCUGCAUGCAGAACUCUUGGCAGUUUAUCAUGGAUUGAGAUUGGCUUGGGAAUUUGGCAUGUCAGAGUUGGUGUGUUAUUAAGAUUCUAAAACAGCAAUCAAGUGGAUUAAGCAACCUGUUAACGGAAGGUAAUGUCUGUGUUGAUUACCUUGCAAAGAUUGAGGCUAGCUCUCAUGAGGCACGCCAGUCUUUUGUUGCACCUCCAGCUGGAAUCAGCAACCUCCUACUAGCAAAUGCGAGUGGGAUCUUUUUCCCUAGAUAGUUGUUUCUUCUUUUUGUUUUUCUUUUUGCAUUUUGUUACCAAAAAAUAAAUAAUGAUUUGAUAUGAGUAAAAUCAUUUAGGAUAAUUUUCAUUUCUAAAAAAAUGGGAUGACAUUAGUUAUAAUUGGGAAAGAAAAGUUAAAAAGUUUUGUAUUGAUCAAGAAUUCAAGACCCUCUCUAUUUUUUAAAGAAAUUGUGGGCUCUAUUUAUGAAAUGGAAAUACGCACUCAAGAAUUUAGUGGAUCUCAUAUUUAGCUGGACCUAUAUUUUGUGACUCAUCAAACUCCUUAAUGUGAUUUUUUCCGCUCAUUAACGAAACCAUCCAUUUCUUUGAGAAAUAAAGAUGAUAUUUUUACCAUCUUAAUCCAUUUGAUGGUACCCACCAAUUAAUAUCAUUUUUCGUGCUGAUAUAUCUUCAAAUGGAAUCAUUAAUUUCGUUUGAGAAAUGGAUAUGACCUUGUUGGAGCAAUAUUUAAGAAUGGUUCAAAAGUAUUUAAGCUACCGAGAAAAAUUACUGCCAUGAGUCGUCGACUAGGACACUCUUUUUAAAACUAUCAACUAUGACAUCCCAAUAUAAAACAACACAUCUACAAUUGUAUUUGAAUCAUACUACAUUGUAAGAUACUAAGAUCCAUUCUAGAAAUACACCUUUAAAAUGGUACUUAGACCACUUAAUAUGAUACCGAGACCACUCUAACUUCCGAAGGAACAAAUUAAUCGAAGGGGCAGAAAAGGAGAAGAAAGAAAAUCCGUUGAUAGAUGAGUUUUGGUGUGAAGAGAAGUUAGGGUGAGACAUUAUUUUAUUAGUGCAAGAGCCAAAGAGGCAACCAAAAUGGAGGGAUGGGAUCAGUUGACCAUCAUGGGAUCAACGACAUGAUCUCACCUCAUUAAGAAUUGGCGCAGAAAUGAGUUUGCAUUUGCAAAUCACAAGAGGACAAGAGGACUCACACGUUGGUGUUUUCAAACACAUGUUGAUGCGUGCAAACCUGUGACGAGAAGAAGACAUGUACCAAAUAAAAUUAAUUCCAAAAAAUUAAUUAAUUUAAGAUUUCGGAUCUUUAAAAAAUAAUACACAACUUAGUCCAAACUCAUGCCCAGAUCCGACCUGACGACAUCAUUGUCUUCACGUGUGUAGUGUUGAAAUUGAUUGCAUCAUCUCCCCUUUAAAAAAUUGGAUAUCUCUUUGGGGCAAGCCCCAAGAGCCCUUCCUCCAAUAUAUAAAUACUUGUGUUGUGAGAAGUAUCUCCAAUGUGGGACUUGUCGAAAUUUUUUAAUUCACACACAAACACACUUUUGUUCUUAAUUCAAUUUUUCACUUGAAUUUAAAAUAACUCGGAAGUUUCUUUUAAGAUUGUGCAUAAGUAGAUGUGUUUUGCAACUUGAACAAUUGUAUAGUGAAUAAGAUUCAGAUUUAUUAGAGUGACUCGUAAUCUUAAACUCUAUCUCUAAUAUCAAAACGUACACAAUAUUUUCUUAUGUGUAUUUUCAAAAAGUUUGUCCAUUAAGACCUUACAUAUCAAUCUUGAUUUAACAAAUGCUCUACGAAUUUUUCCUAGAAUUUCAUAGGAAUAGACCCUGACUUGCACAUUCACAAAGGUCCGUAUGUCAAGAGUACUGCUCUUAUAUCAGAGUAUUCCACUUUGCGUAAAUGUACGUAUGUCAAGGGUACUCUUGUAUCAAAGUACUCCACUCUACAUAGAGUAAAAAUCUCAUGAACAAUUUCCUUUAAUUCACGUCCUCUUUAUCGCUUUAGAAAUCAUGUUUUUAUGUUCUCCUUCUGUUACCUCACAACAUAUGUUUAAUCGCCUACUAAAAGCAUAAGUGAAUAGUUUCAUUGUUGAAUAAAAUAUUACAGAAGCAGAUAUAAUGUUUAAACCCACACACAAAAACUUAUAUAUGUUAAAAAAAUCACUAAACAAAAUAACUAAAAAAUAUGUCUUCAAAGAUAACUUUUCACUAGUAUGUAUAGUACGCUAUACCGACUCGUUAAAAUAGAAAUGGAAUAUCACGAGACUCACAAGUCACAAUGCUAGCAAUUCAAAUAAUGGUCCUUUGUCCCUUUGGAGGAAACACUAUAAUGAGUCUGAAGAUAUCUAUUUCUUUAGUGGUAUAUUAAAGUGACAAUAAUUAACAAUGUAUACUGAAUUUAAUAACCAAUGUGGUAUUACAAUGUUUAUUUCAUCGGUUUGCCUUUCACAUUGGGUGAGAGUUUGACAAGAACAAAAUAAUAAUAAAUGUAAAAUAAUCUCUACUUUUAUGAAGCACCUAUGCCUAACUAAUAAUGGAACACAAAUAUGUCAUAUUCUACAACGGCAUCUCCUUUUGUAUAAUCAACCGAAUAAAACUUAGCCUGAGCAUAUCCACGUACGAAACGAAAUGCCCCGGUUCCACCAACUAUGGCCAUUUCUCUAACAGGUUCACUCAUGAUCAUGUUUCUACCCAAUAUGCUAAGUGUGCUUCCAUUAAAAUGUCCAUCAGUGAAUGCCAUGGUCAUCACCAUCAUUAGUCCCAUCUCCUCUUGUGAUAUAGAAGUGUAAAUUCCUUGAGCCUUACCCACAAGUUUCGAGUCACGUUCGGGCCCAGCCGUCAAUGGAUCGUCCAUGGCCACAACCGUCCCGAAUGGCAACGCAUU